rnacentral:lncRNA from 1 species
CCAACCACCACCCUCAAAGCUGGAAAACUUUGUUCUUUUCUUUCUUCUUCUUCUUCCGCUCCGACCAAAGAUGCUUUGUCUCAAAUCCGAAGCCCUCCGUGAAGAUCAGACCUUAGCUUCCUCUUCUUCUUCUUCUCCCAGCAUCGAUCGUACCGCCGCAAAUGCCACUUUUCGUAUUCCCAUCAACUGGUACUACUCUCUCUAAAUCUACUUCAUUCUUCUUUCACUGUGCUUCGUUUGACUCUCUCUCGUUUUUUUGCUGACGUGGCAGGGGAAGCUCGAUCCGGAGGUAUUUGAAAAAGACUGGUACUUUCUCAAGAAGAUCUUACUCCUCUGGAGAUGGCUCUUUGUAUUUUCCUGAUCUAGAUGUAAAUGUACCUCUCUUACUCUCCAUUUUGAUUUCUUUGUUUGUUUGUGGUUACGCAGUUAAUCUAGGGCUUUUGAGGGUUUAGUAUUUAAUCUGUUUUUUUUUAUUUAAUUUGGGUAUGUUUUUUUCUGUUGCAGAAUGAAAGCAAGAUUCUUGAUCAAACUAGUGGUAGAUUUGAAGGUAAAAGUAGAGUCUGGUACAAAUGUGAGCUUGAACAAGAUGUAAGUCUUUCAGAUCCCAUUACUUGUCCUUGUCCUUGUCCUAGUGCUUGUGGUCUUAACCCUCUUGAUAUCAACUAAUCUGCUGGUUUUUUGUUUAUCACAUUUUUACAACUCUUCUCAUUUACAUAGUUACAUGAACUUUGAAAAACAUUAAAAAAAAAGUUUGAUAUUUUUUUGUCUUCAUCCUUAAUUGUGUGUUUGGGAUGAUACAGAUUAAGAAGCUGCAGCAGCAGUUACAAGAAGAGAUAAACUUACGUUUAGCUCUAACGAGUGCUGUUGAGCACUCUAGUUCUCCCUUUAUGGAAUCACCUUGUCAACUUCCUGAUAAGGUCUCAAUAUACUUUCUCCAACGUUUAUAUUUUCUUUGUUGCUUUUGAAUCUCCUUAUAAAAAACACUCUUAAAAUUUGCAGGCACAAGAGCUUUUGGACAGCUUAGCCGUACUGGAGAUCACAGUGUCAAAGCUAGAACAAGAAUCAGUUUCGUUGAGAUAUUUACUAAGGCAAGAGAAGAACGAACGGCGUCUCACUGAGAUUCUACAAAAGAAGAAGUCUCAUUAUUGUGCGCCUUCAAAGCUCACUAAUGCACAAAGUUUCCCUAACAAGUUGGUAUGAAUGACUCUCUAUUCAAAAGGUUUUUUUUCUACUGUUGUGUAUUCUUUGGUUCUAAUGUUUUUAAGUCUUUAACAGUUUCUUCCUUCUGUAUUGACUCACAGGUGACAAGGAAAAGAGAGAGUAAACAAGUGGUUUCUGUGGAUGAUGAAGCUUUACAAAUAGACUGAAGAAGAAUAGAAAGAUUGAUGUCAUCUUAGCCAUAUCCAGAUUGCUUGAUCUAUAGUCCCUGGGCUAAAUCUUUCAAAAAGUCUUCUAAGUUUCUUCAUCACCCUCCUGGUGUGUUAGAAUUUGCCUUCCAGACUCAACAAACUGGUCCCUGAGCAUCGCUACAUCGAAAUCUUUGAAAGAAUACACAGCUCUUCUACUGCAAGCUCUGUUCUAUAUUUGCUUAGAAAGAGUAAGGUUAUGCCUUGUAGGAGCAGCAAUGAGAAGCUCAUAUCUACUCUAUUAAAACAUAGAAUGCAUUGUUGUUAUCACUUGGCAAAUCAAUUGAUCAUUUAUUCUAUUUUUUGGCUUUUUACUUCUCUAGUUUUCGUGCUGUCAUUUUUGACUUGGACAACGAGUGAUGAGAAUCUUCAUCAGAUCACAAGUAAAGCUGCCUUAAGAGUUAAAUCAACUGGAAAGCUUAAGUCAUGAGCUAGCUAGGUCCGUUUGUGUUUGUACGUGGACUUGACAACUAGGCCUCAAAAACAUAGAUUAACCGUUUUUAUUUUAUGAGAUUUUACUCGCUUAACAUUUUAGCAGGGUUUUGAAAACUUAAUUAACAUUCUAUUUGUUUACAUUCACGUAACGAAUUCAAUAAUAAAAACGAAAUUAAAGAUUAAUAUUAAACAGUCCUAUAGCUGCCUUACUUGCGUGCUCCAGUAACGGUUAUGAUGUAGAUACACUCAUAACAGAACAAGCGAUUUAAAGAAAUUAGGAGCAAUGAUAGAUUUAGUUUUAAGUUUGCGUUUACAGCUGGUAAUUUCAUUUACUUUCUGGUCUCUGAACAAUAUAUCUGAUUAAUUCAAACAUUAAGUUGUAUAUAGACGCAAUUGAUUGGUCUAUUAAAGAGAAUAAAUAUUGUUUCUUACCAUGUAAAAAUUAGAAAUUCCUGUAUAAUUAUAUAGUGAUUCCAUGUAAUUUCGUUUCUUUAAUUAAAAUACACUAGGAGCGAAGCCCCGCGCAAGCGCGGGGAUGUUAGAUAUAUUUGCGGUGUUGUAGUGUAAAACGUUGAUGGUGGUGGAGUGCAGGAGAGGAGGAGCAGAGAGAUUUAUAAGAAGAAGAACAGUGAAGAGGGUUGAAAAUGCAUAUUAGUUGAGUGGCUAUUACUACAAAAAUGGCCAUUUCAGCAAAUGAUGUCUAGAAUGUAUCAUAUUGUUGUUCCACGUUUACCUCUUUAAAACGUAAUUACAUUGUUGAGUGGUUUUUACCACGAAGAAUGUUAACAAUUACUACAUGGUCUGAGCACAGACGCCUCUAGAUAUCAUUUGCUGAUAACCGAACCAAAGGAUGUGUAAAGUUAUUUGUAAUUGAAAUGUUAUUGUUCAGUGGUAGAGUAAAAGUGGUGGUAUACGUAUAUACUGGAUGUUCAUGCAAAUAGUAUGUUCUCCAUUUUGUAAAGGCGAUGUGAAUAUUACGUCAACCCUUUUGGAACUAUUAAAAUGUUAAAAAAGUCAGCCUCGUGUGAGGUACAUUGUUCGAAUGAAUUUCUUAAAAAGCUGGAAAAAUACUGGAAAAUAUGGCAAAGUCUGAAAUAGGAAAUGCAUAGUAAUUUAAAAAUUCUUAAAGCUAAAGAAGCAGGGUUGGGGAAGACUUUUUGAUUCCUUUCAACACUCAAUCACGUGGGUGCUUGCGUCCACCUUGUUUGACCUCAGCUGUUGACGUCUUGCUGGCAGAAGCUGAAGUGGAUGCUUCCUCACAUUUCACGUCAACACAUGCGUCUUCAUUGAUCUUGGGAUUCUGGAGAUAAGUAAAGAUGUGGUUUUUUAAACAUUGAGUCGGAUCAAAAUGUUGACGUGAGUAUAUACUAUAAUACCUCGGGGUUGAUAGUGUGACUGACUGCAGCGACGGUGAAUGUGCGGUUGAUUGGGGUGGGAUUGGAUGGUGUGACACGUACGUGGAAAAGAAAUUCUUGCCCGCCAAGGUCUGCUAUGCACUGUGGAAGGUUCUCGUUGACACCACGAUUGACCUGCAGUUUGUAAGAGGUUCGAGUGAUUGUUACAAAUGUCUGGAAUGGGGGAGGGGGUAAGAAAUAGAAACCUGAUCAAGAAACAGAGUUGCUGCAUCUUGGUUUGUGAGCUUAAGCAUCUCCUUGUCGAACACCACAAAAGUUGCAUAAUUAUUCCCAUCAUCAACCAGUAAUUCAACACAGUACCUGUAAUUUACAAUAACAUUACUGAUCGGAAAGCAUGAAAUAGCUAGUUGUUUUUAAUAAAUGAGGGGGAAUAGUUUUUUACCUAACAACACCGGUGACGUUGGAGAUAAGACAUUGGUUGCAGCGGAGAGAUGCAGCAGAAUUUUCUAUUUUUUUGUUGCAGCGAGUGCAUGAGACAUAAAACCAGCCAUUUUUGGUCAAGAUCUCAACAAUCCGUGCUUUGCAUAUAAAAUAAGGUGCCUGUGUUUAACGAAGAGGAAAGAAUUUUCAUUUUCUAUUAUACUUUGAAUGGGUAAGAGAUUGAAAGCUUUGUUGGAAAGUUUUAGGAACCUGGUCGGUAGUGUUGGAGAGGAACAUGUUGAGAUCUCCAAUGGAGCUUAGUUGCGUGUCAUUGAUCCAUGUUUUGUCGUGGUAACUGGGAAUCUCUUCGCCCACUGCAGUUCUUAACCUGGAAAGCGAAUGGUGUGGUUACUUAAUUGAGUAGACAUUUAAAAUUGUCUAAGGCAAUAACAAAAUGAAUUGUACCUUGAAGUGAACUCUGUGAUGGGUGGGAGAUUGGAGCAGAAAAACAAUUUGGUUGCUGGUGUGGAGUUGAGGUAAAGCUUAUCUGAAGAAUGUAUAGUACUUGUUUAACUAUUUGUUAAAUUCAGUUCAAAAGUUUUAUAAGUAACUUACCUCCAAUUUUUGUUGGGUUGACCGUUGUGACCACCAUGACGGUGUGGACUCUAACCUCUGAAUUAAGGAUACCCUUAAAAGUUGCUGCCGCAUCGUCCCAUAAAGACAAGUACACUUUGACGGUGCUGUAAUUUAAUUUAUAUAACAGUCGUUACAGUUAGGAGGACUCAGGAGAAAAUUGUCGAAAAUGAGUUUUUUUUUUCUGCUUACGGUUCAAUGAGGAAACGGAUGAGAAGUGGAGAAAUGACUUGAGGGUCUGUAAGGCCAUAACCUUUGACAGAUUGAAUUUGACCAACAACAUCUGCCAUUUGAUGAAAAAUUUUGGAGUUUAUGAUUUAAUCUGUUAGUAUAAGUUCAUAGUUAAUUUGGUAAAACAAUGGAAACAAACCUGGGAGUUCUAAGUUUGUGUUGGCUAGGAUUUGGAGAUGGUCAUGCUUGCGAAGCAUGAAUUUUUGUAAGCUGAUAACAGGACCAUUGCUGAUGGAUUUAACCAAAGUUGUUUGGGCGAUGAACCGGAUUACAAAAGUAUUUUCCGUAAGCUUGUACAGAUGUGGGCAUCUUUCAACCUCAAAGUGUGCAACUUCGUAAACGUCACCCUCUUGUAAAGAUGAACGGUAGUCAUCGGCUUGGUUUGCAGGAAUGAAUCCGCUGAGCAUUGAAUCCUACGGCAAAUAUUUGUUGAGGUUAAUCAUAUAUAUUUUUUUUAAAGUUUAAUUAAACCUAUAUAUAUAUAUAUAUAUACGAAGCCUUUGGGGGGAAGAUGAAUAUACCUUCUCAUCAAGGAAAAGCAAAGUGAUUCCCAUGGAUUCACUGGGGUUGUCGACGUUUGGCGAGUCCCAAUACCGGAGGAGGCGAGCAAGGAUUGACUGGGAAGAUAUUCCAAGCUGAAGAUCGGCAAAAGUUGAGUGAUGGAGGGGUUGUUCAGAACCGAGAGCAUGAGAAGAAGACAUUUCGAGAGCAGGUUGCUAGGUUGAAGAUAUGAGUAAAUUAGUAAGGGGUUUGAAGAAUUAGCUCUGUCAGGCUUCUCAUAUUUAUAGAAUUUAAGUUCAAUUGACGGUUCCAUUUUCUGGGAAGGUCGAGAGAUAGGGGAAGAUAGUUAUACUUGGAAUGAAUAAAAUUUAAUUGUUGAAUUUAUGUGAGUCAUGAUUUUAUGAACGUGGGUAAACGAAGAGAUGGAUACAAAAAGAGUUGAGAGACACUGGUGUUUGUUUGGAGAAUUUUGCAAGCAGGGAGAUGGCGAGGAUUAAAGGGAAAUAAGUAUAACCAUUAAAACCUAUUUCGUAUAAAGAUGAAACGGCAGAGACGAUGUAAUGCGUAAAACAUCUGCCGAUGUGGUUUAGUGGGCCACAGACCAAAGUUUGGAAAUGUAUGUUUUGCUAGUUCGGGUUUUCAAUAUGUUUGGGCUGUAAUGGGCUUUGCGUCUGACUUGGUAAAAUUGGAGACGCCAGUGAAAUUAAAUUGGGCCGUGCCCUUUGUUCGCUUAUUAGUUAAAUGGUCAGACAAUAUAUGAUAUGUUUUUUGUAAAAAAAAAACCUCGUCUUCUUUCCAGUUUUAGAUAUCCCCUGUAAAUUUUCGAGGAAGGUACGGUUCCUGUUUCAAAAAAUAUUUAUUCGGUGAGGUUUUUAUCAAUUUAUGAAUUGGUUGAAGUAUCAGACAUAAUAAUUUGCUGACCUUGCUGGAUUGUAUCGAAGUAGAUAAAGAAAGGUAUGGGAAUCACUCAUCAUCUUCUUCUAAACCUGCAAUUAGGAAUGAAAAUUGUGUCGCCUAAUUGGUCGGGCAAUGUUUAAUUUAUAACCAACCUCUGACACAAGUUUUUUGUAAAUAGUUUGUUUAACAGAAAAGAGACAGAUGAUGGUUUAUGCAGCGUUGAGUCGUACCUGCUGUUUGGGGCAAGCCACUGAAGGCUUCUCUGUAGACGAUAUUGGCGAUGGUGCUCGUGGAGCCACUGGGUCUGGUAAUAUUCAAAACUUUCAGUCCUUUUGGUGUGGUCACUCUUGAUAGUGCCACAUAUAGUUGACCAUGGGUGAAAACAGGUUUGGGCAAGUAAAGAGCAACCUUAGCCAGUGUUUGGCCUUGACUUUUGUUUAUUGUCAUUGCGUAGGAUACUCUAACCGGAAACUGGCGCCUUCUGAGAGUGAAGGGAUGAUUGGACUCUGUGGGUGAUAGGACGAUUCUAGGUAUCAGGACAGUCUGUUUUCUUGGGGAAGAUGUUAGUACUUCUGCCUUAAUAACUCUUUCCCCCAGGUGUGUGACUAUAAGUCUUGUACCAUUGCAUAGCCCUUCAGCCUGAUUUAUGUUGCGAAGGAGCAUGAUUGGCACCCCAACUUUGAGGCAAAUUCUAUGCGCAGGCAAGCCUGAAAAUUGUAAAGAGUUGAGAUAUUCCAAAGGAUAUGUUAAAUCAAACUCUCCCGAAUGUUUUUCGUCCUCAGCGAAGCUGUCGUAGCUUAAGAAUUCUUGCUCAGCACCCGGUAUUUUGGAAAGCAAGUAAGUGUUGAUUUCAUCAACCGUAGCGUUCUUCGGAGUUAAUAUAGCUGAAUCUCUGAUUUUUUCCAUGUCCUUGUAAUCAUUUGUGAAAUCUGGGAAAACAGAUUGACAAAGGAUGUCAAGUGGGUUGGAAGUCACAGGAAGGAGGAGAGAAUCGUCUAUCAGAAUUUGGUCUUCAGCAGCUUCUGUGUAUAUUUCUUUCUGAGGCGCCAGUGCUGCAACCCCAUCACCGACUUGUAAAAUCCAUUUAGCAAAAUCUUUUUCGUCAGAUUGUACGCGCAUGUUUGUGGAGAGAACAUGAAUUUCACAGUGGUUCCAGAGGUGUGAGUGAUUAACAGCUGCGUUAACUGUUUCCUGACGUGUGCCUUGUGGAAUGACAGGGAGAAUCUGUCGAAAAUCACCGCCCAACAGGACUGUCUUUCCACCAAAAGGUCGGUUUAAGGCUGUUCUAUCAGACAGAGAUAAAAUAUCUCGGAGUGUGCGAUCUACGGCCUCAAUAGCAUGGCGAUGUGCCAUGGGCACCUCAUCCCAAAUAAUAAGGUCUGCCUGGCUUAGGAAGCUGGCGAGGUUAGUUACAGAUUAGCACGGUUUAGGUUACUUACGGUUCAAUCACGAAACGAACGACAACUCGAGUCGUCACUGUUGCGUCCUUCAAGUCAGAACCUUGGACAGACUGAAUUUGCCCAACAACAUCUGGCAUGUGAUGAGCAGAUUUAAUUAACGUACUUUUAUCAGACAACAUAUAAUCUAUAACAUAAUGGAAGAGUAAACGUUUAAGGAGAACUAACCAGGGAGUUCUAAAUUAGUGUUUGCGAGAGCUUGCAGAGGUUCAAACUUUCGCAGCAUGAAUUUUUGGAGGUUGAUAAUAGGAGCAUUCUCGACAACCUCAUCAAUGGUUGUUUGAGGGAUGAACCGGAUGACGAAAGGAUGGUCCGUAAUCUUGUACAUAUUUGUGCAUCUUGCAACUUCAAAACGUGAAAUUCUGACGACUGAACCCGCUCGCAAAAACGGACGGUAAUGAGGGGCGCGCCCAUCAGGAAUGAAUCCAUGAAUGAAAGAAUUCUGCAAUUUUAAAAAAAGAAGGAAUGAAUCCAUGAAUGACAGAAUUCUGCAAUUUUAAAAAAAGAUCUAAAUCAUUAGUUUUGUACGGAAGUGAAGGAGUACGAAAAAACGAUUAACGUUACGAUACCUUCUCAUCAAGGAGGAGGAGGGUGAUCCCCAUGAAUUCACCUUGCUUCUUGAUGUUUUUGGAGUCCCAAAAACGGAGGAGACGACCAACUACGAACUGGGCAGAUCUACCGAGGCGGAGACCAUCAAAGGCGGAGUGCGCGAGAACAACACCGGACGAAGCCAUAUUUAAAAAUCUGUCUUAGCUUUAUAAAAUGAUAAACAGCAAGUGGGAUGAGAGGAUCAAGCCUGGUCUCAACUCACCGAUAUAUAUAGAGUUCAAGUGAAGGAAACGGAAGGGGCGACAUCGUAAGUGUUUUUUUUUUUGAUUAAUAAUUAUAAUUAUGCCCGUAUUAAAAGGAAUGAAUUGAAGGAAAAACUUUGAAGAACAGGGAAGGGGAAGAGAUAACGUCAGGGGAGUUUGAGAGAUUGAGAAGACAAACAUGAGCUUUUCAGUUUAUGAAAAGCAGGAGACGGCGAGAUCGAAUUUUGUGAAGACGACAACAACGAAGCCCUAAGUGGUACGCAGCGUUUUACUCAUCUACGAAACAAACGCGGGAGACAGAUAUCAGACCAUCCAAAAUUCAAUCUGAUUUGAAGAAACUAAACCGGACCAAAAUACACACCUACUCGAUGGAAAUAACCGGACAUUAAGUAGGCUCCACAUUAUUUAUUAAAUGGACACGUGGACAACCUCAGGAGAGGCAAAAGAGCCCCAUUAUAUUAUAGAUUGUAUUCUAUAAUUUUUGAACUAAAUUAACAUAUGAUUAAAAGUAAGAAAUCUCUUCUCUGUUUGAUCGAAAUUUUCAUGUUUCUUGCUGUGUGAAUCGAAAAUAAUGGGCCUUAUAUAGCCUGUACCUUUAAGCUUGUCCACGAAUCAAGGCAUGACCCAAUGUUACGCACGUGUGAGUUGUUUCAGACCGCACGGGAAAAAAAUAGAAGUCAUUUGAAAACAGACAUAGGUUUGUAAGAGAGGGAAAAAAUAGAAGGAAUACGAAACCAUCCUCUUUCUUGGACUGUUCACUCACUCUCUCUCACUGUUUUUUUUCAAGCAUAGAUCGCUCGGCCCUGUUGUCUGUUGGCGUCUCCAUCUCGAUUGCUCGCACCUUGUUUCUCCCUAUCUAUUCUACAAAGGAAUCGCAUAAGCUCUCGAGAUUGUUCUCACCUUUCUACUUUCACUUCUUAGCAAUGAGGUUUCUCUCUGAACUUGGAUCCCUCAAGAGAUGAAGAGCACAGAGCCCGUUAGGGUUGCCGUCAACAUACGGCCCUUGAAGGGAUGCACCGAUUGCAUCACCGUCACACCUGAUGAGCCACAGGUACUCAAAAAGGAAUGAUUCAUUACAAGCACAGUGUUAUAGUCUUAGUGCUCAUUUUAUUUGGUUUUUUUUGUUUGCUGUUUUGAACAGGUUCACAUAGGAUCUCAUACUUUUAUGUAUGAUUUUGUAUUUGGAAACGCUGGCUUACCUUCUUCCCAGAUCUACCACCGAUGCGUUGCUCCUCUUGUGGAAGAUCUCUUCAAAGGGUACAAUGCAACAGUUCUUGCUUACGGCCAGGUUUGAUUUUUGAGAUUACUUUUUUUAACUCCUUAAAUUACUACUUGUUUGAUCAAACUCAUUGUUUUUUUUUUUUUUUGGGUUUGUUGCUAUUUAAAGACUGCUUCAGGUAAAACAUACACCAUGGGCAUGGGUACUAACUUUGGAACAAGUGACGGCAUUAUACCAAAAGUAAUGGAAGAUGUAUUUACUAGAGUGGAGGCAGUCAAAUCUCAAAUACGAGUAUCUUUUCUUGAGGUUAGAAGAGCGUNNNNNNNNNNNNNNNNNNNNNNNNNNNNNNNNNNNNNNNNNNNNNNNNNNNAAGAGCGUCUGUUUAUAUUAGAGAGAUAGAGAUGUUGUAUUCUGUUAAUUACUCUUUACUCUUUAUGUAACGCAGAUUUAUAAUGAAGAGAUUUAUGAUUUGCUUGCCUCAAACCCGUCAAGAGCUCCAAUUAUAAUCAGAGAAACUGCUAGUGGAGAGAUAACUUUGCAAGGCGUUACUGAGGUAGAAGUGAAGACUAGAGAGGAGAUGAGCUCGUAUCUAGCACGAGGCUCUUUCACUCGUGCUACUGGCAGCACAAAUAUGAAUAUACAAUCAAGGUAAUUUAUAACUUUAACUAGAUUUCUUUCCAUUUUUUUUGACACAAUCAACAUCUUAAUAUAUAUUAAUGCCUUUCUGUUAUUGUUUGUUUUAUUUAGCCGUUCACAUGCUGUCUUCACAAUAUCUCUGCAAAUCACAAGAGCUGAAGAAAUAUUGUGUGCAAAGCUUCGUCUAGUAGACUUAGCAGGGUCAGAGCGUGCCAACCGAACAGGAGCUGACGGGAUGCGUUUAAAAGAAGGCCGACACAUCAACAGUAGUCUUCUAGCGCUGAGGAAUGUGAUCAGUAUACUAGGAGAUGAGAGGAAGAGAAAGAAAGGAGUUCACAUUCCUUACCGUGUUAGCAAGUUAACUCGCUUGCUUCAGGUAUCAAUGUUUGUUCUUUUUUUUUUUGUUAUUAUGUCCUAAAAUAAAUGAUUUAUUGUUCUGGUUUUCACUUUAUGUCUUACCUCAGUUUUUUUCCAAUUUAGGAUUCUCUUGGAGGCUUAGUUGGCUGAGGCCACAUACAAGACUUCUUAAUAUAUCUGUGUUCAAAAAAAAAAAGGAUUCUCUUGGAGGCAAUAGCAAAACCGUGAUUAUUGGUAUGGUUUUUACAUCUAUAAAUAUUUUCUUAUUCAAGCAUUUAUUAUAAUGACUUAAUGUGUGAUGCAGCUUGUGUAAGUCCAGCAAUUUCAGAUGUUGAGGAGACACUGAAUACGCUGAGGUAUGCAAAUUGUGCUAGAAAUAUUAAGAACAAAGCAGUGGUACAGAAGCAGAAGACGUCUGCACCAUCCUUUGACUACGAUGCUACGUUCAAGGAGCUCACACCAUUAAAAUCGGAGGCAAAGAACAAAGCAGUGGUACAUGAGCAUAAGCCGUAUGUACCAUCAUUUGACUAUGAUGCUAUGUUCAAGGAGCUCACACCAUCCAAAUCGGAGGCAAAGAACAAAUCAUCUGAACCAUUAUUUGACUAUGAUGCUAUGUUCAAGGAGCUCACACCAUCCAAAUCGGAGGCAAAGAACAAAUCAUCUGAACCAUUAUUUGACUAUGAUGCUAUGUUCAAGGAGCUCACACCAUCCAAAUCGGAGGCAAAGAACAAAUCAUCUGAACCAUUAUUUGACUAUGAUGCUAUGUUCAAGGAGCUCACACCAUCGAAAUCGGAGUCUUUGCCGGUCUAUGACAAGCCUGUGUAUGAUAAAGAGGAUUUGUUCCAAGCUUUUUCUGAGCUUAAGAUCCCAUGGACUUCUCAAGCUGCUAGGUUUGAUGAUCUUUUUGCUUCCAGCUCAUCACGUUCAGAGCUGAGGAAACCGGUCUAUGACAAGCCUGUGUAUGAUGAGGAUGUCUUUGAAGCUAUCACUGAGCUUCAGUGCGAUGAGGAUGUCUUUGAAGCUAUCUCUGAGCUUCAAAUCCCAUCUACUUCUCAACCAGAUGGUGUUUCUUCCUCGUCACCUUCAGAACUCAUAAAACAUAACACUUCUUCUUUGGAUGUUUCUCCCAAGAAGACAGAGAGUGAGCAAGAAGAUAAGUGUCAAAAAAAACCAAUGGAGAUCAUUGAUCUCAUUGAUGAUGAAGCUGAAGAUCAAGAAAAGCCCUUCAUUGAUCUCACGACUGAUGAAGAAGCUGAAGUUAAAGAAAAGCCCUUCAUUGAUCUCACGACUGCUGAGUGUCACUUAGAGCUAAAGGAACUGAACAAGAGACUUGAAGAAAAGGAGGUAGUGUGCUCGUUUUAGUAUUUUUCAUGUGUUUCCUAAAGAUAGUAUGCAUAUAAGCUUCAACAAUAAUAUAUAUAUAUAUAUCUUCUUGAAGGCUGAAAUACGAGGAAGUGACGAGGAAAAGGUUCAACUAGAAAAGGAGAAAAGAGCUUUGCAGGUGUGUGUGUUUUAGUGGUUUAUAUUGUGUAUUUAGUGGACUCAAAUUUUUGAUGAAAUGAAAUAUGCAUUGACAGAGAGAGAUUGAAGGUUUAAGACAGAAGCUUGCUAGCGGAUCAUCUGCCACACCAUCUUGCACUUGCAGUAAGAGGUCUAGCUGCAAGACACUAAGGUGCCAAUGCUUAGUUGCAAACUAUUUUUGUGUUGCGUCAUGUGGGUGUUCUUCGGUCAAAUGCUCCAACAGAAGCAGGGAUGAGAGAGUCUUGUAGCUAGUACUUUUUUUUUUUUUAAUCUUGUAAUAUAUAUGGCUUGUAGCCUAUCACAUGGUGAGUGUGAUUUAGGAUGGCCAGUAGUUGUAUUUAAAAAUGGCUAGAGAAGUUAAAAAAAAAAGUAUUUUGAUCAGAGUUAUAUGGUGAGUAGAGACUCCUGAGUUCCUUUCACUCAAGUCUUGUAACAACUUUCUAUCAUUGAAAUGCAACUUACGUUAUAUUAUAUCUGUUAUUUCUUCAGUUUUGUAUCUCUUAGUCUUUCUGGAAGAAAAUGAAUCUGUGUCAGGUACCUUACCAAUCUCAAACUUGAGUGAACUUGAAAGAAGUUGAAUUUGUUUGUCUGCAGGUUGUGGAUACUCUAAAUCUCACUGGAUUAGACCGUGCUUAAUUAUGUUCAGCGAUAUCACUGGAUUAUGCAGGAAUAUGUCUUUCAUUUGCAGCAUCCAUUGGGUUUUUGUUUAGACCGAUCAUCAGUUAAGAGUGUUUAUGUAUGUGACAUUAAUGAUGGAUAAUGGUCACGUUUGUAAGAAUUGUUUAAGAGUUGGAUCCUUAACUUUUCAUGUGUUUUGAAGGAAACAUGGGAUUCGAAAUAUCGAAAUAAUUCUUGGAGAUAAUAGCACACUUGAGCAUAAAGAGACAUAUGACUGAGUAUUCUCCAUCAAUGUUUGAGGUUAGGAUUUGUUUUUAAACUAAACUUUAUUACUCCCUCUGUUUCAAAAUAGUUGAUGUUUUGGAUGAAGGCAUAAGAAUUAAGACAUACAUAUUUUCCUAAAAAAUGACACUAAAAAUAUUAAAUAAAUCUAAUCCAGCCAAUCAUUAAAAAUACUAUAAAACAUUAUUGGUCACACAGUUUUCAAUGAACUUUAAACUAAUUAAAAAAUAUCAAACAUCAUAUAUUUUGAAACAUCAAUAACUCUUCAAAACAUCAUCUAUUAUGAAACGGAGGGAGUAUUAUGUUACAUUUAUCUGAAGUGAUUGAGCUGUGAUUUCAUCAGGAGGAGAUCAACUUACGGUUAGCUCUAACAAGCAAAGUUGAGCACUCUAGUUGGCCCCUUCAGCCAUGACUAUGAGAAGCUCAUAUUUUGUAUUUAAUGCAUUGUUGUUAUCACUUGGCCAAUCAAUUGAUCAUUUUAUUCUAUAAAAACUUUAUAUAUGGCUUUCUUCUUCCCUAGUCUUCUUGUGUUUCUGCCUAUUAUUUUUGACUCGUCAAUGAGUGAUGAGAAUAUUCAUCAGGACGCAAGUAAAGCUGCCUCAGAGUUAAACAAACUGAAAAGCUUACGUCCUGAGUUAGGUCCGUUUGCAUUUGUACGUGGACUUAACGACUAGGCCUAAAUGUAUUUUCUUUCGAGUAUCUUUAAUUCCCGAUGUAGCUUUUUGGGCCGUCGAGCCUUUUAUUGCAUGUUGGUUGAGAAAAGUAUAAUAAAACUGUGGUUAUUGAUUAGUUGAGAAAAGAAUAAACAAGUGUUAGUUUAAUGAUCGAUGCUUGGAGCAUGAACAAGUUAGCGAUUAGAAAAGAGAGAACAUGAGCUAGUUUUUUUUUUUUUUUUAAGAAAAGGCUUUCAGAACAUGAGCUAGUUUGCCUUUCGUAUUACUUAAUUAAAACUGGCUUAAUAAAUUAUAUAAAAGUAAUUGUAUAUAAUUUGAUUGGUAAGCUGUCCAUUAACAGAAUAUAACGUAGUCAACUAAUCAUAAUGCUAUGUAUUUGGAGUUUUUUAUUCAUUUGGAAAAAAAAUCUUACUAAUACUGCUGCAAUAAUCAUAACUUAUGAUUCAUAAGGCUGCAACUGGAUUGUCCAAAUUUAGAAUGAAAUAAGUUGAAAUGCUAUGUUCCAUACCUUCCAGUUUUUUUUACCAUUUAUCUUGAAUAAAAUAAAAUGUUUAUUCCAUCGAUUCCAAAGAGAAUUAAACAAAAUUCAAAUAAAUCAUUCCACUAUUAUUUUGAUCAUGAAUGAAUGGAAUAGAUUUAUUCCAUGUUUUUUAAUAUUUCAUUUCUUUCAUUCCAUUCCUUUUAUUUCAUUCCUUUUUAUCCCACUAAUUCCAUUAUACAUUAACCAAAAGAUCAUGUGAUUUUAUCACGUUGUUUGUAGAUUAGUAUUUCAUUAAAUAAAUUGAUUUUAUGAGAAAUAUGUUACUCAAAACUUGUAAAAGCUUACUUAUAAAUUUAAUCCGUCAUUACGUAGUACACGUAAUUAACAAUGCCUGGUGGGUUGAAUUAAGAAAUGUGAAAGCUGUGCCUAUAUGUAUUUAUCCGAUUUUUUUUUUUGAACUUAAGUUAUCCGAUUUGUUGCUGCAUUAUAUAUUAUUAAGAUCGUAACAAUUAACGAGGAAAAGACUCAAGAGAGAGAGAGAGAGAGAGAGAGUCAUGGAGACGAUUGUUAAGGUAGCUUAUGACGCAUCCGUGAAGACAGUUUUGACGUUGUUGGAGAAGAAUCUGUUACCAGAUGUUGUCAUAAGGAGGCUGACGCGGCUGCUUCUCGCCGGUCGACUUCGUUCCGGUUACAAACCUACGGCGGAGCUGCAACUUUCCGAUCUCCUCCGUUUCGUCAACUGUAAGUUACAACAUACCUAGCUUUUUUCGUCAAACAACAUACCUAGCUGAUCCUCUUGUUUUGGUAUUAAGUUAAAAAAAAUAAAAAAUUUAGAUUUUGUUUAUUGAGUGAUUGCGACGGUCUUGUACGAACUGGUUGGUGUUUGCUUUUGGGUUUUAAUUUCGUCUGUCACCAGAAGACUUUAGUGGGCCACGGUACUAGGUUUGUUGUGAGUAAGCUUUUUGUUUCAUGUGUGUAAAAAUGUAUAUAUGAAAAUAUAUUAAAAAUCUCUUUGAAAAUGUUAUCUUUUUUUUUAUAUUUUGAAACACGAAAAUGUUAUCUUUUAUUGUUUGGAUAUUGUUGUUGAGAGAUCCACUAACACAAAUUUCUUCUUUUAUAGAUUUUUAUACCUAGAAACUCUACAACUCAGUUUUAUCUUGUUGACUGGAUCUCCGUGAUCUAAGCAUACAAGACUACAUCAAAGCCGUAGUUAUAUGAUAGUUUUGUUGAUGAUAGAAAAAUCUACAACUCAGUUUUAUCUUGUUAACUGUCCACAAAUAUACAAUCAAAUAUGGGCAUAGAUCGUUUGAUAUUUUAAAAUUUGAUACAAUAUUUUGUUUGUGUACGUAGUCUCCAUGCAAUCUUCAAAAAAAAAUAUCAAUAAAAAAGUUUACAUCUGAAAAUUAGAACAUUUUCAUUUCAAUUGAAUACUUUCGCAAAAUGUAACUUUUUGGUCAAACAAAACAAUAUUCUGCUAUGUAAACCUAAAUAAACAUUCGAGGUCAUGGACUCAUGUUACCCUAAUGUUUCAUAUAUGACAGCUAUAAAAGAGAUGCCUAUAGCUAUCAAUACCGAGAAGCCAAAGACACAACACUAUGAAUUACCAACGGCUUUCUUCGAACUUGUUCUUGGAAGAAACAUGAAAUACAGCUCUUGUUAUUUCUCAAACGAUUCAAGUAGCUUAGAAGAUGCAGAGGAAGCAAUGCUGGCUCUAUAUUGCCAAAGAGCUAAAGUGGAAGAUGGACAAAGUGUUCUUGAUGUCGGAUGUGGCUGGGGAUCUUUGUCCUUGUACAUUGCCCGCAAGUACAGCAACUGCAAGAUAACAGGUCUUUGCAACUCAAAAACACAGAAAGCAUUCAUCGAUGAGAAAUGCCGGUAAUUAUUUUCCACAUUUCGCCCUAAGCCUUUCUCAAGUUCUAUUAGAUAAGUUCUUUUUUUCUUGAGCAAGUUCUAUUAGAUAAGGUAAGACUCUAUUCAUGCAUGGUUCCUUAUAACUUUUCAUGUGUGCUUGAAGGAAACGUGGGAUUCAAAAUAUUGAAAUAAUUGUUGGAGAUAUUAGCACUUUUGAGCAUGAAGGGACAUAUGACCGAGUACUCUCCAUCGAAAUGUUUGAGGUUAAUAUAUAUUUUUUGGGUAUAAACUUUAUUAUUAUGUUAUAUUUAUCUAAGUUGAUUGUUUUUAGCAUAUGAAAAACUAUGGAGAGCUUCUGAAGAAAAUUGGAAGGUGGAUGAAGGAAGAUGCUCUUCUGUUUGUUCACCAUUUCUGCCAUAAGACAUUUGCUUACCACUUUGAGGUAUAAUCUAAUGUUAAAAAAUUGGUUGAUUAUUCAUUUACUUAACCAUUAUUUUCUUGAAAAUAAAGUUAUAUAUCUUUGUGGUUAUGUUGAUUCACUAUAGGAUGUGAAUGAUGAUGACUGGAUCACAAGACACUUCUUCAGUGGAGGAACAAUGCCAUCAGCGAAUCUUCUCCUUUACUUCCAAGUAAUAUACAUUGCAUAUAUAGUCUCACUUUGUUGUCAUCAAAUGUAAACAUAUAUGUCAUUUAUAUAUUCAGGAAGAUGUUACAAUUGUGGAUCAUUGGCUACUGAAUGGAAAUCAUUAUGCAAAGACCAGGUAAAAACUCUCAAAAGUUGUUGUAAUAAAGCAAUAAGAAGAUUGUAAUAAUUACUUUAUAAUACAACAUUGCAGUGAGGAGUGGCUGAAGAGAAUGGACAAGGAGAUAGUUGCAAUAAAGGAGAUAAUGGAAAUGACUUAUGGGAAAGAGGAGGCAGUGAAGUGGAUGGUUUACUGGAGAACCUUCUUCAUAGCGGUUGCUGAGCUUUUCGGAUACAGCAAUGGAGAAGAGUGGAUGGUUUCUCACUUCCUCUUCAAGAAGAAGUGAUUCUAUAUCUUUCUUCUCUUAAUAAUCAGUUCUUGAAUUCGUGAGUGCCAAAUAAAGAAUAAAGACAUUCUCCUUCAACUUUGAUUUCCUUCUAAGUAAUAGAUUCGUAUGCUUUCCUAUUUUUUUUUAAAAAAGUUGCUCAACGGAACUGUUUCAAAGAGACAAAUGUAAUGGUGAAACAUAAAGUAUCAUCGAACUGGAUUCUUUUGAAUCAGCUUUGCUUUGUUGGGUUCAGCUCACCAUCGACCUCCAACAUGCGAGUGAGAAGUUUACCAUCUAGAUUCUCCUGUUUGACACAGAAACAAACAAUACUCAGUAAGAGAAGCUUAUGGAAUGGAUUACACACAACAUGAACAGAGCUGGGAGUUACCGAGAGACAGUGUCUGUACUUAUCCCACUCAGCAACACACUCUUCUUUAUCACAUUGCCCUUUCACGAACUUCUCUGAAUACCAUCUUCACAGAAUCAAAUAUAAAGGAUGUAACUUUACGAUCUCAUACUACGAAGAGAAGAUUCAACGGUCCAAAGUUCAAACUCUAAAAGAUCAAAAGACAAAGAUAUCCCUCAGAAACUCACCUGUUGAAGCAGUUGUGGUAAGCGUUUCGCAAAUCAGCACAGGGUGAAGUAGAGGAGCUAGCAGAAGUUGAAUCCUUUUUCUUCAACAAGCCCAUAUUCAACAAGAGAGAGAAACCAAACAAGAGAAAGUCUUCAACUCUGUUCUGUCAAAAUUAUGUAAUGACGCCUUGUGAAUUGCCAAAGAUCAAACAAACAGAAUUAAAAUAGAGACAAAUCAAGAACAAUACAAAAAAGCUUCAAGAUGAAGAAUUUCAAUUCGCAGAAGCAGAGAAACGUUUUUGUUAAAAUUUGAAAUUUUUACCGUUUUGUCGGAUCAGGACAGGAAGACACAAUUUGAUUCAGACCGGAACAAAAAAAAGUAUGUCUGAAGAAUAAAUCUCAAUUCGCUAAAAACCCGUAAACCUCAGAUUCCAUCCACGAGAUUGUGAGCAGUAAGUACUUCUCUCUCGUUGAACCCGUUACUCAACCCCACACACACGACGACACCACGACGACGACGACGGAAGUUUCCGAGGAAGUGUGGGGAAACUCUAAAACCGACGUCGUUUUCGCUAAAAAGAAAACCUUAAAAGCCCAAUAGCGUAACGUGGGCUUUUUACUUAAAAGCUACGUAACCGACGUCGUUUUCGCUAAAAUAAAAUAAACACGGUAUUCAACGGUUAAGGCCCAAUAGCGUAUAGUGGGCUUUUUAACUUGUAAGUUACGUACAUAAGGGAAUCCAAUCACGUGUAGUGAUCAUCAUCAUCUCGCGUGGCGUAACAUAAAACACUUCCUUCACUGCAAUUGUUUGCUUUUUUAUUUUAAGGAUACACACAACUCCUCGGAUUAGAGAAAACAGCAAACCUCAAAAAGAAAAAAAAAAAAGAUGGAUCAGUUCAAAGGUCAACCUCGCCUCCCUAAGUUCGCCGUCCCCAAGCGCUACGAUCUCCGUCUCACUCCCGAUCUCGUCGCGUGUACUUUCACCGGAACGGUAGCGAUCGAUCUGGAUGUAGUCGCAGAUACUCGUUUCAUCGUCCUGAACGCAGCUGAUCUCUCGUUCAACGAUGCCUCUGUUUCCUUCACUCCUCAUAACUCCUCUCAGGUCAACGCUCCGACCAUUCUCUCUUUUGCUUUUUUGUUGUUGUUGUUGUUGUUGUAAUAAUGAUGUGGAUUCAGAUUCCGACAAUGUGAUUAAGUGUUACUGUCUUGAUGGUUUGGAUAAGUACUCUCGAUCUUAGCUAUAGAAAGCUGUCUGUCUUCUCGGGUUUUGAUUGAAUUGUGAAAAGUGUUUGGCUUGUUGCUUGUUAUGUUUCGUUUAAUAAAAAAGAUUGCUUUUUUAUGUUUAAGCAGGCGCUUGCAGCUCCGAAAGUGUCACUUUUUGAAGAGGAUGAGAUUCUUGUGCUUGAGUUUGCUGAGAAUCUUCCUCAUGGAGUUGGAGUUUUACAAAUGGCUUUCAGUGGAAUACUCAGUGACAAGAUGAAGGGUUUCUACAAAAGGUGCGUUUUUUUUUUGUUUUUAUAAAAGUUAAGAAAUUUACAUAGAUCAUAAGGGUUUAGUCUUGUUUUCUCUUGGUUGUGUGCAGUACCUAUGAACAUAACGGUGAGAAGAAGAACAUGGCGGUUACUCAGUUUGAACCAGCUGAUGCUAGGAGAUGCUUCCCCUGCUGGGAUGAACCUGCUUGCAAGGUUUUUUUUUUUUUUAACCUUUCUUCCUCUUUGCCUCCACUUUUAUCAGCAUGAAGAGCGUAUUGUUUUUGUUUUCACAACAGGCUACCUUUAAGAUAACACUGGAGGUGCCUUCUGAUUUAGUGGCUCUCUCCAACAUGCCCGUUGUGGAUGAGAAAGUUAAUGGCAACGUGAAGGUUGUCUCUUAUCAAGAGUCACCGAUUAUGUCUACAUACUUGGUGGCGAUUGUUGUUGGUUUGUUUGACUACGUUGAAGAUCACACAUCCGAUGGUAAAAUUCAUUUUUACUACUUAUUAUCUCAUGUCUAGUCAAACCUCUAAAUCAAAGUGUGUAUCAUUUGCUCAGGGAUCAAAGUCAGAGUGUACUGUCAAGUGGGCAAAGCCGACCAAGGCAAGUUUGCAUUACAUGUUGGUGCAAAGACCUUGGAUCUGUUCAAAGAGUAGGUUUUGAAACUACAUCUGCUUGCGUAAAUCAUAUUCGUUUCAAAAUGACACCAACCAUUCUUGUAGGUAUUUUGCUGUGCCGUAUCCCCUUCCCAAAAUCGAUAUGAUUGCGAUUCCGGAUUUUGCUGCUGGAGCCAUGGAGAAUUACGGUUUAGUUACAUACCGUGAAACAGCUCUUCUCUAUGAUGAGCAACAUUCAGCAGCUUCUAACAAACAAAGGGUACUGUAAACAUGUCUUUUUGAUUCUAUAGAGAAGAUUUUCUUGUGCUUGUAUAUCUAAAGAAUUUAAUUUUCUGCUGCUAGGUUGCGACUGUUGUUGCCCAUGAACUGGCCCAUCAGUGGUUUGGCAAUCUCGUCACUAUGGAGUGGUGGACUCAUCUGUGGCUGAAUGAGGGUUUUGCUACUUGGGUACAUUUCAACUCUAGUUCUUUUGUAUUAACAAUGGUAUUGAGUUUUGUUGUGAGUUUACUGUUACUCUUUAUCUAUUUCAGGUCAGCUACUUGGCUACUGAUAGUUUGUUCCCUGAGUGGAAAAUCUGGACCCAGUUUUUAGAUGAAUCUACUGAGGGUCUAAGGCUAGAUGGGCUUGAGGAGUCUCACCCAAUAGAGGUAACCAAAAUAAGUAUAUAUGUUAUUAAGUGUGACACUUAUUCUGAGAAAUGUUGUCAAUAUAUAUCUUAUGAAAGCUUAGAACCUAUUACCUAAUUAUCAUGAAUCUUAACUUUUUCAGGUGGAGGUUAAUCAUGCUUCUGAAAUUGAUGAAAUAUUUGAUGCUAUAAGCUACAGGAAGGGUGCAUCUGUCAUCCGCAUGCUUCAAAGCUAUCUUGGUGCUGAAGUUUUUCAGGUUCUGCUCUUUCUUAUUUUCUUCUAUAUCUCAUAUUAUGCAUGAAAAAUAUGGUGGCAUCUUACCCUAUUUAUAUGGUUUUGGUAAGCAGAAGUCGCUUGCUGCAUACGUUAAACGUCAUGCUUACUCAAACGCGAAGACAGAAGACUUGUGGACCGCUUUGGAAGAGGGUUCAGGAGAGCCUGUGAACAAGCUUAUGAGUUCUUGGACAAAGCAAAUGGGAUAUCCUGUUGUCUCAGCCAAAUUAAAAGAUGGCAAACUGGAACUUGAGCAGGUUCGUAAACUUAUUUUUUCCUUGCUGGAUGUCUUAGUUAUACCCUUUUUAGCUGUUAUUUUGGGAACUAACUAAAUUCAUUUUUAAAAUUACAGUCUCGUUUCUUGUCAAGCGGUUCUCCUGGGGAAGGACAAUGGAUUGUGCCAGUAACCUUGUGCUGUGGUUCAUAUGACGUGCGCAAAAACUUCUUGUUGGAAUCCAAAUCUGGAGCAUAUGAUAUAAAGGAGUUACUGGGCUGUUCCGUUGGCGAUGGGACAUGCUCGUGGAUAAAAAUCAAUGUGGAUCAGGCUGGGUUCUAUAGGGUGAAAUAUGAUGACAGUCUCGCUGCUGGACUCAGGAUAGCAACAGAGAGCCAAAGCUUGACCGCUAUCGAUAGAUAUGGUAGUUUAACCUUGGCAGAGUUUUUAUUUUCUUGUUGACAUAUUGGAAUCUCUUUGCAGAUGAAACAUUAUUCUUUUUUUUUUAUUUAACAGGUAUUUUGGAUGAUUCUUUUGCACUUUGUAUGGCUCGUCAGCAAUCUCUGGCUUCGUUGCUCACUUUGAUUAGUGCUUACAAGAAGGAACUUGACUAUACUGUGCUGUCAAACCUCAUUGUUGUAAGGAUCUCUUUUUUUUUGUAUUUAAUUUUACCUGUUUCAUAGUUAUGCUUUUGCAUCUGUUUUUUACUCGUCCUCCAUACAGAUAAGCUACAAAGUUGUGAAGAUUGCAGCAGAUGUAAGUUUAGAACUGACGUCUGGGAUUAAACAAUUUUUCAUCGGCGUUUUUCAACUUGCUGCUGGGUAAGUUGUUUUACCCAUCUACAGAGUUUAGACUUAUCAACAGCAAAAGAUUAUACUUAAAAAUGAAAAAAGGAAAUUAUUGUUGAUAGUACAAUGUUCAUUGUUCUUAAAGGAGACUUGGUUGGGACCCAAAACAAGGGGAGAGCCAUCUAGAUGCUAUGCUGAGAGGGGAAGUCUUAACUGCACUUGCUGCGUUUGGGCAUGAUGAGACACUCAAGGAAGCAAUUCGAAGAUUUGAUGCAUUCUUAGCUGAUAGGAACACUUCGCUUCUACCUCCUGACCUUAGAAGGGUUUGUUUCUUAUUACAUUAACCCAAUUACGCUUCCAAAUGUGGAUAUUGUGAAUCUUAUAAUUCUAAUCUUUGUAUUGGUUGUUUGUUUUGCAGGCUGCUUAUGUUGCUGUAAUGCAGAGAGCCAACAAGUCAGACAAAUCUGGUUAUGAGUCUCUGCUUAAGGUGUAUAGGGAAACAGACCUGAGCCAAGAGAAAACACGAAUCUUAGGUAAACUGAUCUGACCAGAGAAUAAUCUAACAGAAGAUUGUUAUUCCAACUACUAAUGUUUUCCUUUUGGUUUUGCAGGUUCUUUAGCAUGUUGCCCAGACCCCAGUAUAGUUCAAGAUGUUCUUAACUUUGUAUUGUCUGAUGAGGUAUAUAUAUAGAGUUUAGAUGUUCUUAUCAUUAGGUUUGAACUAUUUGACGUUGAAACGGGGUUGGUUUCUUGUUUCGCCAGGUCCGGAAUCAAGAUGCGGUUUAUGGACUUUCCGGUGUAAGUUGGGAAGGACGUGAAGUAGCCUGGAAAUGGCUACAGGAGAAGUGGGAGUACAUUGAGAAGACAUGGGGUUCUGGAUUUCUCCUAACUCGCUUCAUAAGUGCAGUUGUAUCUCCGGUUAGUUCUUUUUUUUUUUAAUAAAAACUCUUUCAUUUGUCUAUGAACAGCUUUUGAUCUUUCUGCCUGAUCACUUGAUUCUCUUAUGUCUUUAUUGUCUCAGUUUGCGUCGUUUGAGAAGGCGAAAGAAGUGCAGGAAUAUUUCAUAACGAGAUCAAAGCCUUCAAUGGCAAGAACCUUGAAGCAGAGCAUUGAAAAGGUUCAUAUUAAUGCUAAUUGGGUGGAGAGUAUCAAAAAGGAAGACAAUCUCACACACCUCGUUGCUCAGCUCUCUUCAAACUAAAUGUCUCAACUCUUUCGUGUUGGGUUAUCUCCUGAAUAAACUAAAGUAUCUGUGACUAUGCAAACCUUUGUUGUUUUUUUCCUUCUCAACACAGAAUUUGAAGUUUCUUUUUCAGACUUCGACUUUGCCAUCAAUAAAAGUUGCCUUUUGGAUAUCGUUUUGACUUGGGUGAUUAGUGCAGCGAUAUAGACAGUUUUGAAGAUGAUUAGUUGCCACUUGAUUAGCUAUAAACCAUAAGACGAAGAUGUGAAAUGAUGAGUUUUUGUCCCUUAGACAAGACUACAUCUGUAUGAUUCAUAUAAAUUUUAUGAACCAUAUUUGUUAAUGACGAAUUGGCUCUAAUGAUGGAUAAUUGGAUACUAACAAGGAAAGAAAAACAGAACAUGAAUACUACAUCAAACUUCUGUAUCCAAGUUUGGUUAGGAAUCUGACUUGCAACAAAACUCAAAUAUACACUCUAAAAGUCCUCACUCCAUGGUGGGUCUUCAAAUUUAAGAAAUAAAGUUUUGAUUUUUUGAUACACACAGAGAAAGGUAAAGAGAGUUAUAAGUGUUGCAAUAAAACUGCCACUAGAGAAGGCAACAUUACUACAGCCAACCUGGGCAGCUUUUAUAUAACACAAAAGACUUUACUCAGAUCCCUUUUCUUUCUUCUUCUAAUACGCAGAAUCAUCAGGAAAAGGCUAACCAUAUUGUUAGUCUUCUUUUUGCUUCAUUACUACUUUUGGUUAUCUCAAAUUACCAUUGGAUCAUCCAUCGAUGAUACCAUCUGAGGAGCCUCUGCUGCUUCCCCAGUUAUCCUCUCUACAGGCAUUACCUCAGCUGCACACAGUUUUGAGUAUAUCAAAUUUCACUUUCUUUCUUCUUUUUUUUUGUGAAUUUACACAUAGACUAUAUACAUGCAUGCAUAUUUAUGAGAUUGUCGUUAAGCUCUAUCUGUGAAAGAACCUUUCGGAUUUGAACAUGCAAAGAGGCAAACAAAAGAAGCAUGGAAUUUUCCAAUGAUUGAACACAACUCACCUGGUGAUCGAUCCAGAGACAUAGUUCUUGCCAUCUCUACAGAGUUGGAAAAGACUUCAGUCAGAUUCUUUCUAAUGUCUGAUCAACAAUAAAUUCUCUAGCAUCUCAUUUACUUUUUUUUUUUUUUCUGAAACACAGUAUCUCAUUUACUUAAAACAGAUUAUUAGGACGAGAAAAAUGCUAUGAGGUCUAUAAUGAUUUAAUAAUAGUAUGGGAUUUUGGAUGUACCAAGUGAAUGACGCAACCCUUUCACGGCGUCAAAGUUCUUGUAUGUAUAGCCAACAAAGCUUAAAUCCUUGGGAGCAAGAUUCUGCACAAAAUGGAUAAAGGAUAUGUCAUUCAAAAGUGAAACAUCUAAUGAUACAGGUUUCGUCACAGACAAAAAUAUAUAUAUCAACCAACAGCAUUUGAUGAUGCUUUCUUAUAUCCAUCACUUCAGCAGCAAACACUACUAUGCUGUGUGGAGUAUCAACAUCCAUUCACAUAUCCUUGAAUAUAAACCCGCUGGAUUAAAGUAUACACUUAACAAUAUUUACAAACCUUCCUGGAGGUGCCUGAUUUAGUUCUUUCAGGUGCAGGAGAAUUCACCUGGACAUAGUAUCAAAAAAUUCAGUAAGCCCCUCACAUUAUCAUAGAAAAAUACUCAAAAUUCACUUAAAAUAUCCUAAAAUGGAUCAAAGAGUGGCUAUUCUUCAUCAGUUCACUAACAAGCAAAUUCCUAGCCCCUAGGUAAUAGGUAUAUCAAUUAACACAAAUGUGAUUAAAGAAAAGCACGGGAUAACACAAAUUGCGGAAUAACUAUAAGAUAAUGGUUCAUAUUUAUGUACUGCUAUAAGUUAUGAUGGCUCAUAAAGUAAUACGAGGGAAAUCUAUUUACACGGGAAAACAUUUUUCAGAUAAUGAAAGAUAAUGAAAAGGAAGAAUUUAUGGCAUACUUCAUCAAACUUCAUAAAGUUUUGUGUAUCUAGCUCGUCGUUCACUUCGGGUUUGUACGCAGCAUCCAUUUCAUAAAGCUUUUCCCAAACAACAUCUUUGAACCAAGGAUGAACCUGAUGCAAAUUGAAGAGACAAGUAAAGAAAAAUGACGCGCUUAUGGGCCUAUGGCUUAUCACAAGUACUACUUAACAUUCUCAUGGACUAUCCUUACCUUGAUUUGCUGGGCUCCUCCUCCAGUGCCAAGUCUAUGGUCCACGUUGCACAGCAACCUACAGAUAAGAUCUUUUGCCUCGCGUGACAGCUUAGCAUCCUCGGGAAAUUGCAAAUGAUUUCUCCAAUUGACAAUCUAGCAGGAAGAAAUAAGACUUCAUGAAUAUGAUCACUGAACCAUACAAACACAAAAUGUCUAGUUUUCUUUUCUGCAUCUACAACAAGCGAGCUAACAAAAUUUUACCACUAAUCAAUGCAUAGUUAACAAAAAUAUAUGAAAUAAUUAUAAUAAGAUUUUAACAUUUUGCUAACUCGGACGCACAUAAAGUUUGAGUAGGAAACCAGUCAAAUUCUUUACUGUCAACUGUUUAUAACUUUACAUAGAGAAAAUCACUGGAUAGUGAACAUAACAGCAGAACGCAAUAUACCUUUCUGCAUGUCGAUAAGGGAUCAUCUGCAUAAAAAGGAGGAUACCCAACGAGCAUUUCGUACAUAAUUGCACCUAAUGACCACCUGAGAGACAAGAAAGAUAUUUCAAAGGUAAAUAAACUCCAUCCCAGGAGAUUAUGGAAAAACUGAGGAAUGAAAAAUAAGAAAAUCUAUCAAUUCGGUACAAUGCUGUAUGGCUGCUAUUUGUUCGCGCACAAAAAUUUAAACAGCUAUAGCACUAUCAAACGAGGAUGAGGCAUGCACCUCCGAUGUAACAGACCACUCUGAAAAUGGAAAUAAAAAUAAACAAAACAACUAACCAAUCACAUUCCAUGCCAUAUCCUUUCUUCAGUAAAACCUCAGGAGCAAUAUAGUCGGGUGUUCCCACAGUCGAAAAUGCCUUUAAGAAAAGAGAAACCAUUCAGAAAACAAUAUCGCCAGUUGAUGCCAUGCAUAUUUAUCAACAGACAGUAGAGGUAAUGAAAGUUUAAAAUGUGUUCUCAUCCAAUAUGAAGAAUACUCAUGUUUGGUAUUCACUAUUCCCCAAUUCGGAUGUCUAUCUACAUGCUCAGUCAGGUCAUAUUUGGUAUAUUCAGGAAUCAGAGCAAUAUGGAUAAUGCAGAGGGAAAUUUUCUACUCCAACAAAAAAAAACAUACUAGUGUUCUGCGAUUCAUCUGCCAAUGCUGAAGUUGUUCCUGGGGACUGCGCCAGCUUCUUUUGUUAUCAGUGUCGGGAAAACAUCCAUCAACAUCCAUAGGUUCUGUAACAGCUUCAUCAUCGGUGGCCCUAUUCUCCUGAAUAGAAGGCAAAGUUCUACAGUCAAGAGGCUUACAAAGCCCAAAGUCCGAGAGUUUCAUGUGUCCAUCUUUGUCCAAAAGAAGGUUGUCAGGUUUGAUAUCCCUGCAAAAAGAGUGGCAAGACAUGUCAACAAGAUGUACGAAAGUACCACUGUUUGCACCAAAAGCUUCCAAACAAAGAUAAUUUCCAAAAUCGACCUAUGAAUAUAGUUGUAUCGGUGUAUGGACUCAAUGGCCAGGACACUUUGAGCAAUAUAGAAUCUUGCAACAUCUUCCCGCAAUGUAUCCUCCCUCAUGAGCAAAGUCAUCAUAUCACCACCAGGAAGGUACUCCAUAAUCAGGUAUAAAUACUCGGCAUCCUGAAAUGAAUAGUAGAGUUUCACUAUAUAAUGGCUUGCAACCUCAGCCAGCAGGUUCCUCUCUGCUCUGACAUGUUCGACCUGAAAAAUGCACAUUUAAUCAGAUGCUAGGAAGAGAAAGACCAUAAACAUAGUUAGUUAUCUCUGUAAACGAGAAUACAGUAUAACCAGUAUGCUUGUUAUUUGAUAUGUUAGCAUAUGCCGGUAUCUUGAAAUCAACCAUGUAUUUGAGAUAUUGGUUGAACUUAUAGAAACUUAACACAUGAAGACCACCAAUACCUUAACUUCGCAACAUAUUGUUAUCAGUACUUAGAUGAAAACACAUGCAAUCACCAGAUUAAAGCUAAACUACACUAUAAGCUGGUAAGAUGAUGCCAAAUAUUAUUACAAUCAAACUCAUAGUGACAGACAAAGACUAACUUUAAGCUCCAGCGAACAAUAGUAGUCAAGAGAGUGACACACUGUUCCAACUAUUUACGAAUUUUUACCUGUCCUUUCAUGACCAUUUCAGAUUUCUUUAACUUCUUCAUAGCAUAAAUAUUUCCGGACUUCUUCUCCCGACACAAGCGAACCUGAAAGUCAGAUUAAGUUAUUUAUGAGAUUAGACGCACCAUAAUCACUACGAAAACAAAAGUGCAUCCCCGGUUAUAGUGUCUAUAUUUUGAACUGCAAGAAUGUGUAAUGAAAUCAAAGACACAGGCAGUAUAGCUCGUCGUACAAACCUCACCAAAAGCACCUCUUCCAAUGAUCGUCAAAAGCUCAAAGUCAUCAACACUUAUCUUGUUCCUUUUAAGCCUCAUGAACUCAGUCUCUUUUCUCUCCAGAUCUUUAAUCAUGUUGAUCUGCUCCUCCUUUGGCACUCCAGAAGAAGCUAACUUCCUUUCCAAGAUCCACCGUCUACAAGAAAUCAAACAAUGUCACUCUCUUUCUGAUCAAUCAUAGUAGUGAAGAGAACAUGAACUUUAACAAGCUUCUUCAAAUCUCAAGUUCGUUAACCACUGUUAAAAUCACGAAUCACUAACAGAUACAGAUACUUAGUUGCUUCACAAAGCAAAGAAGCCACAGAACUUAACCAGAUUCCUCUUCCAUAGCCACUAAUGACUAAAACGUUAACAGUACAACAGAGUUAACCACCAUGAUUAUCAUCAAAUUCGAGACUAAUCAAAGCUCACGCAACUAAUUUCGCCCUAACUAGUCUCUAAAAAAAAACGAUAUUCCAAAUCUCAAAUCUCUCACUCAACGAAAGAGACGAUUUAUAAUACCUCUCUUUCCUCUCCUGAAUGUUCUUAUUCUGAGCUUUGUAGUGAUUCUCGAUGUACUGCUUAGCUGCCGCCACUUUCUCCAUGGUCAAGCUCGAUCCCAGCACCUCCUCGUCCGUACCGUUCUCUUCCUCCUGUAUAUCCUCCAUCUCCUUCCUCUCUCUCUCUCUCUCUCUCGACGUGAAUGGCUAUGGGAAAGCACCUCUCUCUCUCUCUCUCUCUCUCUCUCUCUCUCUCAGCACUCUGGAAAUUCUUAAAGAGAGAUGACGAUCGUGAUUUUACAAUCUUACCCUUGGAAGCCGAGCCUCUGACCGACACGUGUCGACAUUAUAUUUAAAACGGCACUCUGUAUACGGGAAAGAUAUACGUAUGAUUUACAGCCUAAUCUCAGUAGAUUUGUUUCCUAAAUUUUCUUUAUUUGUUUUUUUUUUUGUCAUCUAUUAUGUCACUAAUAGCUUUAUUUGAUGGGUUACCAGAUAAAGUAUAAAGUUUAUUUGUAAUUUCCAGAUAUGUUUAGUUGGAGAGAGAGAGAGAGUGUGUGUAUCGCUGUCAAGGGCGUAAUUGGAAUUUGAGGUUUGUUUCAAUAAGUUUUUUUUAUACAACGAAGCUGAAGAUUUUAGCUUCGUGAUUGGAUCGUGGUUUUCACACGCGCAUAGGAUUCGAUGGGCUCUGUGAAGCUUGUGAUAGUAUUAAGUAUUUAAUUAUUGGGAUCCAUUAUUUAUGUAAAAAAAAAUCUAGCUACUAUCUAUCUAUGCCUUCUGUUUCUAGUUAGGAUAAUUAUGUUUGUGUAUAAUUAUCCUAAUUUUUGACAAUUUAUAAACUAUGGUAUGUGCGUUUUCUACAUUUGUAUGCAGAUUAGCUGUCACACUAUGUAAUGAUUAUACAUUCUCCAAAGUAAUUUACCGUUUAUGUUUAAAGUUAUUAACUUCAUAAUUAAAAAAAAAAACGUUGUAACAACUGUCAAAACAACAGAUAUAGAAAAAAGGUUAUCCAUGCUUUUAGAAUAAGUGGAAUGGUGAAACGUUAUCACCAUUCAACAAACAUACUGUUCUUACACAGAUCAAUGAUAGUGAUUUUGGGUUUCCUAGGCCGGUCAAGAAAUCAUAUGAAGUCAACCGUUCUUGGUUUUGACCAAUCAUAGCCUUGUGAAAGCUAUUUGUAUUUUUAAGUCAUUUCUCAGGAAUAUAAAUUAGGUGGAGUCAAAUUUUAAUAUUUUUCUUCUUUUGGGUAUAUGAAUGUGUGGGAGAAAUCUAUGUAAACUAACAGGAUAAAUAGAAGAAAAAAUAGUGUGUUAUCUUUUUCUUUACAAGUAAAAGUGAGAGAGAAAGGUGGUGGUGGUGGUCUAGCUGUAAGAGGGAGCAAGUCGUCAGAAUGCUGCGUUGUAAUCAUAAUUAGCGACAACGAAAUUUUCACAACAGCAAGAAGAAAAAGUAAAAAGCGUUUUGCCUAUUUUUCCACGUCUCACACGUGGCGUCAUGCCAGUGGCUGUUUUUAUAGAAUUCACCUUUUGAAAACGCAAAUGUUUUUGGAAUGUAGUUCAUAAGGGUCGAUCAAAAAAGAUAAAAAGAGCAAGUGGGGUUUUGUACUUUUGCUGCGGAAUUGAAUGUUACACAUGCGAGUACAGAAGAUUCACUAUUCAUACGUAGGUACCAUUGUUUAUGUAUAAACAUGUAAACACUAUUAUCUGCAACCUAGGAAUAACUCUUUGGUUCAUUCUCUGUAAAGCAAAGAACAACCAUGCUGUAUUAAAGAAAAGAGUAAUUAGUUUAUGUUAUACCCAUCGUAUCAUGGUCGUUUUGUAAAAGAAAAGGUUUGUUAUCAAACAAAGAGAAGACAACAAGAAGAGCUCUUUGAGAAGGAUACAAAAUGAGCUCGUGAAGACAGAAAAAAACAGUGAGAGAAAAGAGAGUUGAAUAAAAGAUCAAAGAUGUUUUGGCUUCUUCUUCACGUUGUGGCGAUUGAGGUAAUGCCAACUCGACAAGUUCCUUAUAUUAGUAGUUUAUUAGCAAAGAGCCAAUCCCGACACCAGCCGUGAACUAUGAAACAUCGCUUUUAAUAGCAAGACAUGCCAGAUUCUUUCUACAGAAAAGUUCUAUCACAAAUUUGAUUUUUUUUAAGUGCUAAAUUGAAUAAGAUUUCAACCAGCCAAGUUGCAUAACAAGAGUAGAACAUUGCUUAACUAUUCGUUUGGCAUCUGAAGAGUGUCUAACCUCCAAAUGCGAUGUUACAUUACAAGCCCUUGAUGGUGGUCGAACUCAGAUGAUUCCAGUACUGCUCAGGCAAGAGACUUUCCUGACCAUUCUCGUUCCCUUCGUUUUUGUUUGGCUUGUAUUCUGUUGAACUUUUCUUUUCCCUUUUCUAGAAGAGGGUCAACCACAACAUACGCAUCUGGAUCCUCCUUGCGCAUCUUGUCCUGCAACAUAGCUUCACUUUUUCAGGAUAUGGCAUAAUAAACAUAUACAUAUGGCUCAAACUUCUGAUCAAAAUAUUCAUUAUUAGCAUCCCCCUAUCCUAUGAACUAAAAUGACCGAAGUAGUGUAGUACUACAUCCACUAGAACCUCACACUAUCAGGUGCGAUGGAACCUUAGAGAUUUACCUUUCCAUGCUCGGGUGCAAACUUGAGCUUUACUUUCUUCCAAUCAGACACAUCUUCUUCCAUAUUGUCUACUGGUUCACUACUUGAGCCAAACGGUUUUGCAGAAAUGGACUGCUUAAAUUUCUCCAGUUUUGCCAACACCUAAGAACCAGAGGGAAACCAUGAUAAGUUAACAAAACUAUCUUCUAAGACUGUUUCUUUGACAGAUUUACAAAUUACUUUUCAGGAAUAUAAUCAGGCACACGGAUUUGGUCAGUGAGAAAAGCAGGGUAAAGAAUCAAUAAGAACGCAUAUUUUUAGAUUUAAGCUAGAAGCUAUUUUACACAACUUACAGCAUCCUCAUUUCCUUGCAUUCUGCGCUUCUUCAACUUGUGUAACUGCCGGGCGCGUUCAGAAGCGUUGUAAAGUUGUAAAUCAGCAUCUCCAUUUUCCAAUCGUUCGGCUUUGGCUUCUGAACCUAUUCCCUUUUUCUUCAAUGAUAACUUUUCCAUCUUUGGUUUCUCAUCUUCACUACUUGAAACAUCAGACCUGUAAAUAGCAUAAUAACUAGUAAGCCAAUGACUUGUGUUACUGGUUAUGCCAACAUGAAUUGAAGUAAAAUAGCAUUUGUUUUCACAACAUUAAAGCACAAAAUAAGAGCCAGGCGUGUUGAAUUAUAAGAGACAAUAGGGUUUAACUGCGGUACCAUUACCUUUUGAUAGAUUCUUCAGGGGCUUUCACACUAGAACUCUCUGUUAAGAGGACAACCACAUGGAAAUCUAAUUAGAAUGUACAGAAAUAACUAGAGAUAAUAUAAACAAUACGCAGGAACAGAGAGAGCUGCACAAUAUUCCUCUAUGGGAAUACUUGGUGCAAAACAUAGAAGCAUCAAACUAAUUAUAUAUAGGUUUGAACUUUUAUUAUGUUUUGGUUAGAAGCAUCCCUAAGCACAGAUAUGAGUUGGUUUGAACUAUUAUUAGGUAAAUCAUAAGUUUAAUAUCUCAGCUUUGAGAGAUGGAAAAACUAAUUACUUUUUUUCUGAGUUGGUUUUGGAGGAAUAUCUCCCAUCUCCUUCCUUCUGCUAAGCACUUGAUUCCUCAUCUUUGCAUCAAAUUUAGUCUCGUCUCCAUCAUCAUCGUCAUCAUCACUAUGUCCAACUGGAUCGGAUACAGGCCAGCUUUUCUCUUUUUGUGCAUUUUCUUUCUUAGAACCCAGAGCUUCCCGCACAGAUAGCACCUCCUUCGAGUCAGAUGCAUUCUGAAAUGUAAAAAAAAAAAGUUUUUAAUAUACAUCAGAAAGACAUCAAUAAAGAAAGCCUUUUUUCAUCUGAUGCCUAUGAUAUAAGAACGGUAAGCUUCAUUACAUGUAACAACUAACAACCAGGAGGAUAAGUAAUAUAGUUAUUCGCAAUACUUUCACACUUUACAUACUGAUUAGCCUAGACUUUCACACAGAAGAGAGGAAUAAAUGAGAGGGGAAGAAACACCAGCAAAAAAAAGAAGAUAAAAUUGUACUAUUACCCGUUCUUUAUUUGUAGAUUCUGCCUUCAGUAGUCGAGGAUCGUUCAACACGUCAUGACUGCUCUUAAUCUUUUGCUUUACAGCUGCCAGUUCCUUCUCCUCUUCCUCAGCUUCUUCUCCGAAUGACAGCAAGUUCAAUUUCCUGAUUGUAGCAAAACAAAAAAAGGAGGAAAAAAAAAAACUCAACGAACAGCCAAAGCAAAGAUACAGCAUAAACUAUCGAAUUUCCAUGGACAGCGUCUUACUUCACAGGCUUUCUGGGGGGUUCCUUGACUUCAUCAACAGGAGCAUGCGAUGCCUUUGCUAACACUCUAGGAACAAUAUCUUCGAACGGGUUCCACAAAACCUAACGUAUAAAAAAACAAAAAAACAAGCAAAUCAUAAGAACAUCUCAAUAACGGGAGAUUAACAUUGCCUUAUGAAUCAGAUUUAAAAACUCUUACCUCAACAGAUAAUAUUUUGGGGGCAGGAUCCAGGGGACGAUCAUCUUUACCAGUGUCAAUCUCUCCUAGUCUCAGAAGAUUGAAGAUUGAAUCACCCGUCACCUAUCAAGAACUCUUAGAAACAAUACUUGUAACGAAGCAUAACAAACAAACAAAAGUCAAAUUCUUUUUACCUUUCCAAAGAUAGUAUGCUUCUUAUCAAGCCAAUCACACUUAUCCAAAGUGAAAAAGAACUGACUCCCAUUAGUAUUCGGCGAGCUCUCAUUAGCCAUAGCCACAAUCCCUCUAUGGUUAAACCUCAACCUCGAAUGAAACUCAUCCGCAAACACACCUCCGUAUAUACUCUCUCCACCUGUUACACACCACUCACAAUCGAAUCAUACAAUACAAACCCUAGGAGUUAAUCAAUCAGAGGAUCUGGGACAAUUACCUGUGCCGGAGCCCGUGGGAUCGCCGCCUUGGACGAGGAACCCUGGAAUCACACGGUGGAAGAUGGUGUCGUCGAAGUAACCCUCGAGGCAUAGCUGAACGAAGUUCCGCACGGAUUUGGGAGCUUCCUUGGGCCACAGCUCGAUGUCGAUUGGGCCAUGAGUUGUAUUCACGAUGACCUUCCCCUUCGUCGGUGGCUCGAGCACGUAUAUCGUCGACAUCUCCUCUUCUCACAAGCUUCUUCGUCGUCUUCUUCUCCGAUUUGCUUUUUUUGAUGGGCUUCUCCGAGAGGUAUAGGUUUCCUCUUCGCUGGGUUUUAAAUAGUAAGCCGAGGAUAUUAAAAAUAGGUGCGCGCCCAAUUCGAUAAUGAAGCCCGGCCCAUUAAUUAAACAAAACUUAUUGAAGCCCAAACACGGCCCAUUAUCAUCAAGCUACAGUUAAGUCAUCUCCCAAUGUUUGGACUCUCUUAUAAAAGUCAAGUCAAUGGUAACAAGUUAGCAAGUGCCGGAUGCAUUGAAAACGAAAACAUGCGUCACCCGCACGCGUUGACAUUUAAGACCCAUCUUCAUGACCAAGACCACCAGUUGUUUAGUUAUCGCUAUCCGGAAAAAUCAAACUCAGAAUAUCAUUACAACAUUUAAAUAAUAAUGUCAUAGGUUGUGUUAUAUGUACAGUCCUUUUCUUCAUUAACUUCCAUGAAGUUACCUUCACUUAGCCUACCCUUCUUUUUCUGUAAAAGAUUAUUCAAAUGUUCAACUUUCUCAGACACACCAAGUUUGAAUCUUCCGUCAUAGUAUUUGACAUUCAACGAUUUUUGUAUAAUUAUGACUUUUUUACUCGGUUACUAGUCUUCACAACUGCCCAUACUACUCCACAUUAUAUAUAAGAGUCUUCUUCAACCUAUGUUAGUCAUAUUCAUAUUUCUCGUCUCGUUUUCUCUACAUUUAUUUAUUCUUUGAAAGUCUUCUUCUAUCUCCUGGUAAACAAUACAAAGAGUUAUACUCUGAUCAUUUAACGCCAAGAACGUGUGUUGUGUUUAAUGCCCACAAGGUAGUUGUACUUAUAUUUAUUUAGUUGGUAGAUGUAUAUCAAUACGAAGACAGUUUUGUUUAAUGAAUUUAAUGCUGAUACUGUUCUUUGUUGGUGUGUGCAGCAGAUUUCUAUAUUGAAUAUUUUUGUAAGGACUCGCUUUAUUGUGGCCAUGGGUCUUGAAGUUGGUUCCUUUAGCCGCUUGACAUCAAGAACCAGCAGUUUCAAGAAUCCUUCUAUCGAGCGGUCUUUGAGUUUCAACAGCUGGGAGAUUCCUAAAGAGACCAAGACUGAUUCAGGUUUCGAGGUUUCGGAGACAAAGAAGUCAACUCCAAACACUUUGCAUGGAAGAAACUGUGAGAGUCUCCAGAUAAAGAAACCCACAGUGACUCCACCUGAGCCUUUUGUGUUCUUCUCCCCUAGACCGGUCACCGAGCUUGAUGCAGCUGCAACUACGCUGCAAAAAGUAUACAAGAGUUACCGGACUAGAAGGAACUUAGCUGAUUGUGCUGUCCUUGUUGAGGAGCUCUGGUGAGUUACAUGAUCCACAUCUUAUUCUUCUUUUUAAUGUUUUAAAAUGUUUAAAUUAAUAUCAUAUGUUGUGGUUCUGGUAUUAAAAAAAAAAGGUUUGAACUUAACCCUUGUUAUUGCUUGAAACUUUGUAGGUGGAAGACUCUUGAUGGUGCAACUCUGGACCUGAGCUCUGUGUCUUUCUUUAAAGAAGAGAAACAUGAACCGGCUGCUUCGAAAUGGACACGAGCUAGAAAACGAGCCGCUAAGGUAUGACAUCAUUUUCACAAGUUUUAUUUUGUAUCUCUCUGUUUACUUUUAAGUCAAGGUGUAUUAGUUUCAAUAUUUCCUUUUUUAAUGAGAUAAUAAUAUCAAUGUAGGUUGGGAAAGGCUUGUCAAAAGAUGAAAAGGCUCAGAAGUUAGCUCUUCAGCAUUGGCUUGAAGCUGUAAGUCAAUGCAAUACAGUAUAACUGAUAGGGCUUUUGAAGUAACACAAGAUCAAAAGUUAUGAGUAUCUAUUUGAUGCUGUGAAUCUAAUCUUAUUGUCCCUUUCUUCUAUCAACAGAUUGACCCACGCCAUCGUUAUGGCCACAACUUGCACUUCUAUUAUGAUGUCUGGUCAGCUAGCAAGAGCUCACAGCCAUUCUUUUACUGGUUAGUUUUACAUCCAAAAAAAAAGGUUAUCUCAUUUCUUCAUGUGUGUUGAAUUUGUUCUAAACUUUGUUUCCACCCUUUUGAAAAUAAAGGUUGGACAUAGGAGACGGCAAAGAUGUAAAUCUUGAAAAACAUCCAAGAAGUGUUCUGCAAAAACAAUGCAUCACAUAUCUCGGACCAGUGAGUUUCUUAACCUCAUACUCAACCAUACUAGUUACCUUCUUGAUUACUCAUCACGCCUUAUGGUUCUUUCAAACCUGUAGAUGGAGAGAGAAGCAUAUGAAGUGAUAGUGGAAGAUGGGAGGUUAUUGUACAAACAAAGCAUGAGCCCAAUCAAUUCAACUGAGGAAUCAAAGUCGAUCUUCGUACUUAGCACGACUAGAACUUUAUACGUAGGGAAGAAGAAGAAAGGUGUUUUCCAGCACUCUAGUUUCUUAUCUGGAGGAGCCACAACUGCUGCAGGAAGAUUGGUUGCUCGCGAUGGGAUUCUUGAGGUACUUCAAAACUACAUGUCUUGCUUCUCCCUCACGUAUGAAUUUUGUAUGUUAUGUAAACUAAAACGAUCUUAUUCUCAGGCUAUAUGGCCAUAUAGUGGACACUAUCUCCCAACAGAAGAAAACUUCAAGGAGUUUAUAAGUUUCUUGGAGGAACACAACGUUGAUCUCACCAAUGUUAAGGUAAGAAAAUAACAAAAUAUUAGAUCCUUUAGUGUUCCUUGCGCAUCAACAGAAUGUUUGUAUUCACUAGGGAUGAAUCUUGAAUUGCAGAGAUGUGCUGUGAAUGAAGAAUAUUCAUCAUCAUUCAAAUCCAUUCCAGACGAAGAAGAAGAAGCAAAAGAGAUCUCGCAAGAAGUUGAGAUGCCUUCAGAGCAAGAAGAGAGAGCGAGACCAAUGUUUGAUCAUGCGAAGAGACUGUCUUGUAAAUGGUCAAGUGGAUAUGGUCCAAGAAUUGGGUGUGUUAGAGAUUACCCAAUGGAGCUACAAACACAAGCACUGGAGCAAGUUAGUCUCUCGCCUCGUGUCUCAACAGCUAACACUUAUGGACCUAUUCCAUCUCCAAGACCGAGUCCUAAAGUGAGAGUUUCCCCACGGUUAUCAUACAUGGGGAUCCCUAGCCCGAGAGCUGUUAAAUGCUAAAACGCACACACUUCUUUAACUUGUUCUCCAAGGAAGAGUGUGUUAGAAGUGAAGAAACCUAACCUCCAUCUUUCUUUGUUCUUUUAUACUCCCUCUGUUUUUUAAGAUGGAUGUUCUUGGAAAAUAUUUUGUUUCCAAAAGAUGUAUUUUUUUAUGUUUUCAAAGCAUAUUUUGUGAACUAAUAAUGAAAAAUUGUGUGUUUCAAAAAUAUUAGUUACAUUUCUUUUAAUCUUAUUGGUUUAAAAAUAUAAGAAAUAUAAAGUUACAAAAAACUAUGCAUCAAUAACUAAGUUUUAAUAUGGUUUCUUAAUAAGUGUGAAAAUCCUAGAACAUUUAUCUUUAAAAAACAGAGGGAGUAUAUCUUUUGUAAAUUUCGAUUUUUUUAAUCAUUAUUAUUACAUUUUUAUUAGUGCUUGCGACUCGUGAGCUUUUGUCUCUUUUCUGCUGUUUUACUUUUUAAAUAAGAUGGGAAAUUCAAUUCAUUUCAUAAAAGAGUAACAGAACAAAGUGUUUAUGAAACCAUUUUGGGAAAUAAUGGCAUGAAAAUAAGUCUUGAUUGUACAGAUAGAAUCAAUCUUACUCAUCAUUUCCGUCACUCUGUGAUAAAUACAUGUACAUCAUUUACCUAUCUGCAUGUGUAAAUCAGUUCUUCCAAACUCAAACUCUCAUGACAUCUAUCAUUAAACAUGUAUGAUCUGAAAGCAAAUACAGAAACAUAAGCAUGCCUAUUUACAUUUUUCAUAAUUAAUUAUUCUUUAUAAUUUUUAUUAUUAUAUUUUGUGGACCACAAGGUUUGGAAUAUCUGAUAUCGGAUUCUUGUCAUAUCAUGGUUUGAAAUCUUUACUAAAUACUAGAUCCGAUGUCCGCGCUACGCGCGGAAAAUGUUUGAUGUUUAAUGGUUUAUGAUAAAAAAGGGUGAAAAUAUAUAUAUAUAUAUAUAUAUAUAUUUUUGUUGGUCAGUUUAACUAACUUUUCAUGGUGAGUCAAGGAAAAAUAACUAAUUGUACAUGGAAAACUUUUUUGUAUCCAUAACUAAUUAUAUAUUAUUUAAAAAUUAUUUAAAGCUUUUCUUUGAUUUUUGAACAAUAUAUUUAAUGUUAUUAGAAUACUUAGCAAAUUAUAAAGUUUAACAAUAUUUUGGCUCUACACACAACCAAAAUCAGUCGGGUAAGGUACACACAUAAAUAUAUGAACAUAAAUAUAGAUACACACAUUUUUUUAAUUAGAACAACAUACAAAUGCGAACAAUACAUAUUUUAGUUAAUAAAUUAUAUUGUAUGUUUUUCUUAAGUUGGAUUAAUCUUUGUGAAUACUAAUACAAACACGACGCCUAUAUACUACAAAAACUAUGGUUUUAUUUUCUCAACAAUUGUAAACACAACCUUUAUUUAUCAUACCAAAGCCAAUGAUCCCUUCGCUCUAAUUCAUUGGCUUCGUUCCCUCCAUAUAUUGACUUAACGCUCCUUCUUUCUCACUCACUUCAUCACAUUCCUACUACAAAUUUUCAGAGGCAGAAAGCACAAAAGAAACUAUUCAUUUUAUGUUAUUUGGUGGAACUCUAUUUAAAAGACUUUAUAAGCUGUCUUUUUAAAAAAAUAUAAUCGUAAAGGUUUGUGCAAAUAAACAAUACAGAAACAACGAAUAAUAUUUAUACUUUAUAAGGCCCUCUACAUGUUUACAUAAGCCUUUAUAAGCAUUGUUUAUAUUAAGUCUAUGUUAAUUUGCAUGUAAAUAAAUAAAACAUGGACGAAAGUCAAUAUCAUUUAGUAAUGAUCAGUGAUAAACAUAAGUUCAAAAAUAAGCAAAAGGUAAAUAAAAUCAAAAUAGUCCAGAGCCAAGAUAGCUCAAAUGUUGAAAGCCAAAGUAUGAAAAUAAAACACAAAAUAGUCUUUAAAUAAAAUGAAAACCAGUACUUAAUCCGCAACAUAUUCUCCCAACAUGUGAGAGUAUAACUGGAGAUCUAAUUGCCAGACUUAGCACGUUUGGCUUCACCUGAUUCAACCAUUUCAGAACCUCUCUUCACCCUCCCAUCCACAGGUUCCUCAGAGACAGUUUCUACCAAAGCUUUUACAGGUUCAGGAACAUCAAGAGGGAGUACUUUUGUGACAGUCAGAGUGUGUAUCUCGCCUUUAAUAUUGCGAUCUGAUACCUUGACAAUGAACCUGUAUGUCCGUCCGAUGGUAUCAACCAAGGUCUGUGGCACCGGGAUUAAGUGAUCAUCGCCCAUGCUCUCAUUGGCCUAUCAUAAAUUGGAAUAGUUGUUAGAAUAAAUAUACUAAGCUGUAUUGACAUAGAGGUUAGUAAUCACCUCAAAGUAGCUCUCAACCAACUCAGAUGCUUGUUUCCCAGUCAGCUCACGCCCAGCUUCACCAAGGAUAACAAAAACCGCAUGGUCAUUGUUGUCAUAAACAGACAGCUUUGUGAGGUACCUGCCAUGGAAGAAUAUUAAAAGAAUGCACAAAAGUAUGACUGAAAUAUAAACUAUGAUACUUACUGUGGAACACCAUCUACUUCAUGUUUUCCACAUUUCUUGCACAUGAGUGAUGUAGGCCCUUUGAUUGCCUUAGUAUGGCACACACCGCAGCCAAUAUAAUACCAAGGAGAACCGUGGAAAACAGCAUCAACAGUUGCUGUGCACUCAAACCAAGUAACCUGCCACAAUGAAAAUACUUCCAUCACAAUUCAUCAGCAGGUACAUUUUUAAACUGAGUCUUCUUGGUUACUUGAGUGUUUAGACAGAAAUUCGAAAUAAAGAUGAUGACUACUGCAAAGAACAUGUUGAGAUCAAUAUAAAUGGAUGAGACUUUACGCAGAAUGGAUGAGUCUUCUAGACAAAUGAAAUCAUAUACGGACAUGUCAACAAAAAAUAGAACUGGGAAAAGAAGUCUCAAACAUACAUCCCACACCAACCAAAUAACCUUCUCAUAAUGCAUUUGUAAAACGUGGGAAAUAUAUUACCUUUGCUGCUUCCUGCUUGAUAUAGGAGAAUAGCUCCCCUAUCGUCAUUGUUUCAGUCUUUGUGACCACAUUUGCAUCAACCCUAUUAGCCACAUCUAAAUUUGAGUCCAACCUGAAGAAAAUGUGAAACCAAAAUGUAGUUAGACUGAAAUUACACAUUCAAUUUCAACCAGAGGAAUACCUACCAAGUGACAUAAUCACGGGUUGGUUGAACAUCAAAGUCCAAAAACACCCGAGAGGAUGACAUUGAAGCAAGAGCAAGAGCACCUGUUGCAUAACCUUUGUUAGUCAUAAAAUAACUAUAAACCAUUAAAAGACAUUCAGUAUGCUAACCUCCAAAACGUUUUGGGUUGACAGUGGUUACUAAAAUAACCCUUGGAGUGCUUCCAUGUGACUUGAAUUUGGCACAAAAGUCUGCUGCAGCCUGGUCCCAUAGGUAGAGCUUCAUCACUGGUCCACUACAAUUAAAAUAAACCCAAGUGAUUAGAGAAAUAGUAUACUAAUAGAUCUAAGACACUGUGAAUGACUUACUCAUGAGUUUGAACAUGGAGCAAAACCCGCCGGGUCGAAGCUAUUUCCUCUUCGUCAAGCACCACACUGUCAUUCAGUGUCUGCCCAUUCACCAGUUUCAAGUGCCCAACAUAAUCUGCAAUAACAAAUAAUAGAAACUAAUGCUGAUUAGCUUUACUUAGACAAACAUAUUUAUAACCAAAAUCUCAUCAGUAUAACCAAAAUCUCAUCAUAUACUGCAACAGAAUAAAAAAAAAGAACUUGGUACUCCACAUCUAAAACUGACAAUCAAUACUUAUAACCCAAAAUCUCGGAUGCUACCAAAUAAUUCUCUAUCUACUAAAUAAAAAUAAAACAUGAUACUCUACAACUAAAAUAUACAAAUUUACUUAUAUAUACAGAGCCACAGAUGUUACCAAAUAGUACUUUAUCUAUUUAAAUCUGAGGAUAUGCUAAAUACAACUUAAAUAUUUAAGAUCAAAUCAAACAGUUAUCAAAAUCAAUGUGAAGUCGAUGAGUCUUACCGUAAAGAUCACCUUUGAGGUCACAUGCUGCCUCAAACUCUUCGUAACUAUGGAAACGGAACCGAUCAUCAGGGAAAUUAACCCGACUGUCCUCAAGAUCAGAGAGAACAGAGUUCGAAGUGAAACUGAUGACUACCCUAGGCUCAGCAACCCGGUACAUGACUUUGCUGUUUGAUCCGAAACACUUAUUCAGUCUGUAGACAGAUCCUGCUUUCAUGUGUGGCAAGUAGGUAUCAAUCCUUGCUGAUGGGAUGAAACCUUGGAUAACAGUUCUCUGUCAAACAUGUAAAAACAACGAUCAAUUGAGUAAAUAUCAAGACCGUAAGAAUAUAUAAACUUUUUAAAAAAUUUCAGAUCGAACCUGUUCAUCAAUGAGGAGCAUCUCUAGACCAAUAAGUGUUUUUGUAAGCACAUUUCGAGCCUCCCAGAAAUGGAUGAGCCGAAACCUUAACUCCCCUUCUUGUAUGCCAAAUGAGACGUCUCUAAAAAACAACACCUUAUCAACCUUGGCGGAGGAGCGAACCUGAAACAAAGGGAGCACAGAGAGGUUUUGAUUAGACGCUGUAAUGUGAGACAAUUCGCAUAGGUUUAAAGGGAAGACGUCUGCUAAAAGGCGAAUGUGAAAAGAAAGCCAAAAAAAGAAAUCGUAUGCUCUCCCUUCCGCACGGACAUCACCACUGACCAGAGAAAACUCGCAGUGAUAGAGAGAGAGAGAGAGAGAGAGAGAGAGAGAGAGAGAGAGAGAAUGGGUUUGAUAUCAAGAACGAAUUAGACGAAGAACAGUAGAAGAAAAACAUCACCUUAUCAACCUUGACGGAGGAGACGGCGGUUGAUCCGCUUGGUUGGAUCGGUACAGCGGAGGAGACAGCGGGCAUAACCUUAUGGACCUUGGCGGAGGAGACGGCCUUUUUACCGGUUGGUUGAUCCAGAACGGUGGAGGAGACAACAUCCUUGCCGUUUGGUUUCUUCACAAUAGGAUCGUCGGAGACUAUGGCUUUCCCGUUCGACUUCAUCGCGAGAACAAAUUGAGAGAGUUUUGAUUGAAAAAAAACAUGAAAGAAGAGAUUUAUAAAUAAAUGGAGAGGAAGCCAUCAAUCAAACCAAAACGGACAAUUGAUUACUCUACAGUUUGGUUGCAGUGGAGAUGGUGAGCCAAAACGUCGUUCAAUCGAUGAAAAUCUAGAGGAAGAAGGAAGAUGAAAAGUAAGAAGGACUCGUGUAAUGAUCUAGGGUUUGAUAUUGGGCCUCAAUGGGUUAUUUUUUAUUGCAAAUAUUAUGUGACAAAUUCAGAGCCCAAAUAAUUCUGAUUACAUGGCCAAAUAAUUUAAUCUCAUUGGCUGAUUUUUUUUCUUACGUGGACACGCUCGCGAGGCUGCGUAUCGAGCUUUUAGUAUUGUUUUGAUUAAUUUCCGAAACUUAAAACUUAUAUAAAAAUAUUAGAUUACAACAUCUUAAGAAAUCACACUAUUUUUUAGGGAGCCAAUAACAGAAUCCUAUAUAUUUUAGUUUAAUUAGCUACGGAGAAAUCUGUGGACAGGUAUAAAUGCAUGUGUUUAGAAAUUUUAAAACAUUUAUUUCAGCGUUUGUUUGUUAAAAAGUGAUGGUACCAAAAAAAAGCCAGCUCCUGUAAAGUAACACGCAUACAAUCUAGUUACAUGUUCUAGUUCAACACAUCUCUAUUUACUUUCAAAGGAGGAAUCACGAUAUGUUUUUAAUCAAGCUAUCAUGACAAUCAUCAAACAUGUAAUAUACGAAUGCAAACACACACAUAUACAAACACAAGCACGACUAUUUACAUGAGAAUUUAUAAUUUUCAAUAACUAAUUUAUCUUUAAAUAAUGUUUAUAUUGUUAUUUUAAAAGUUUAUUUUAUCUACUUUUAUGGUUAAUAAAGUUUGAAAUCUUUGAUAUCGGAUUUUUGUCUAUGGUUUGAAAUAUCUACUAAAUCUUAAUUUUCUAAACCUAAAGAUAUCAAAAUACUCCAUGUGGGUAGGAGUAUUAAAUUACAAUAUCUUAACCAAUAACACUAUUUGAGAGAGCCAAUAGCACUACCAGGUUUAUGUGGGUAGGUGUAAAAUGCAGCUGGUUUAACUAUACAACUAGAUCUAGAUCCGCAUAACCGUGCGGGUUUUUGUUUUCAUUUAUUUUUAUAUAAAUAUUUUGUUUUCAAUUCUAAAUUGGUAUAUAUUAUAAUAUAUAUGUGUAUCUAUCAAUUUUUAAAACAUAAUAAAAUUACAGUAUAUUUUUUUCAAAAUAUAUAUAUAUAUGUAUCUAUCAAUUUUUAAAACAUAAUAAAAUUACGGUAUAUUUUUUUCAUUGAAUAGAUUGUUUCAAACUUUCACAUGUAUUUGUAUGUUCUUCUAUACAUUUAUUUUUGGAUUAUUAUUUCAUUAUUAAAAUUGUAACUAUAUAUAUAGAGAUUAGUAAAAUAUUGUUUUAUUGUCAUAUUCAAAAAUAUUGUAACAUUUCACAAAUUUAGAAAGUUUUUAAAAAAUUAAAAUUUUCGCUUCAUACAUUUAUAUUAUCGAGUAAAUAAAUAAACAUUUAGUUUUUGUUUAAUUUUUAAAAUAAACUAUAUAGUUUAAAAUUUGUUUUCAUUGGUUUAAGGUAGUAAAUAUUAAUCAUUGUUAGAUAAUAUGAUUUUUGCUAUUUAAAAAAUCUUUAUAAUUUUAAAAGUUAACAUUGACAAAUAUUUAAAUAAUUAACAUAUGUAGAUAUAGUAUGACAACAUUAAAUUAUAUAUAUUUAAUUUAUAUUAUCUAUAAAUCCAAUGGAUCAUCUAUUGUUUAAAUCCAAUUAUUGAUAGACCAAUAAAAAAUUUUGGUAGACUCAAAAUUUAAAUGAUAAGAUUAAAGAUUAAAUGUAAUAUGAUUUUUUAGGAAUAGGUCUAUUGAGUCUAUUUUUAAAAAAGAAUCACACAUGAAGCAAAGUUGCGGCUUCUGUUUUAAUAUAUAAGAUCUACCGCAAACGCACUAACAUAUCUUUCGAAUAAUCGAAAAAGAUUCGUUUUUAUUAAAAUUGGAAUAUGGAUGGAAAUGGAAUCUUACAUAUAGAAUCUUAGGACAUAAUGUUUUAGGUGAGACCAAUAUAAAAGGAAUACGUCAUGAUCGACCCUGGUGGACAACUAUAAAAAAGACUAGAAGAGAUCACAACAAAAGAAAAUGGAUCCACUCAAAUAAAAUAAAAGAACUAGUUAUUAUUACGUUCUAACAAAUUAAUAAAAAUAAAGAUGGGCUUACGUGAGCACAUGUGGCAGACACGAAGUUGAAGACAACACCAUCAACGGUGCUCGUAUAACCACAUCUCUCUAAUGUCCGUUUCAGAUUGGGCUCCAGUACAUCUAUUUCCACACCAUUCAUGCUUGUCCUCUUCUUCGUAUUUACUCACUUUUCGCCAAAAUGCAUUCCUAACUUUGCUCAUGGUUCAUGAACAUAAAUUUCUCUGUUAAACUCCGUGUGAGUUUAUUCGAUUUAGUUGAUAAAAAAGACUCGUAACUCUUUGUAAUUGUCAUUUUUACUCGUUAUGGUGAAAAGAAAACAUUAUCAUAUAAAACUCAAGUGAUGACAAUUCACUUGAAGACCAGCGUAGACUUAAAAGUUCGAAAAGUUUAACUAGCAUUUGAUAUCUCAAACUUGAGAGUUUUCUUGGAGACAAUAUAGUAGUCUCAACCAGCUUCGGUAUGACGGAAUCCACGCCAACAGAAUCUCAAUCUAAGAAGUUUUGGGAUUGGUCCAAAUGUUUAUAUUAUUAAUAAAACAACAUGGAAAACAUCAUGCUUAAUGCUUUGUCAUAAUAGCAUAAGUGUAAGCUCAAAGAAUAUGCAAUACCUUACUUGUACUGAACUUCUAAAAGUAUAAUCACUAAUAUAUGGUUUAGUAGCUUAAUUAAACAACCAAAUUAUAAAGACUAAAACCCCAAACAUAGUUAAAAUAUUGGGAUUUUUGCAAAAUUGACCUACAACUUAAAGUCAAACACAAAACUAACCUCCUUUUUUUUUGAAAAUUGGUUUUGCCCUAUUCACCUCACAAGUUCAUAUAAUUUACGAAAAUGCCAUCAAUUUUUUUCUUUUUUUUCUUUUCGAAAAUGACAUUUUUACUCUCUCACCCUCAUCAUCUUCAAGUAAUUACAAGAUUGCCAUUAUCAUCAAUACCACAACCACCAUGAACAACCAAUUUGAAGCUCUUAAUGCUCCCAAAAUCGAUUUACCCUUCUUUUUUUUCCAUUCUUGUGAACUAAACACAACAUAUCUCUCACUUUCUCUCCACAAUGAGCUAAAAAAACCCAAGAUUUUGAUUCUAAAAUUUUAAUGGUUCAUAGAGUCAUAGAAGCUAACGAUUAUGGGUGGGUGACUUCCGUUUGUGAUUCUGUGUGCUUGGAGAAGUCUUAUGUAUGCUAAGGAACUUAUCUCACCAAUUUAAGGUAUGACAUCGAGUUUUUUUCCAGAUCUGUUCGUCAGACGAUUUACUUGGGAAGUCGUCUGGCUGUAGACGACUUACCUUUCAGUCGUCUGGCUGUAGACGACUUACCUGGAAGUCGUCUGGUCAACGCAGAGGUUAUUUUUGCAAUUGACUUUGAAAUCUGUAACCUGAGACGACUGAAAGUUAAGUCGUCUACUAUUGUUUGGUUUCAAAAAAAAUUCCAAAGAACCUAGACGACUUACAUUUCAGUCGUCAUAGGUUAGUUUUGUAUUUGACUGGAUAAUUUCAGAAGUUUGACUUCCCCAGACGACUUACAUUUCAGUCGUCUGGCGAAAAUUAAAAUAAUAAUAUUUUUUUAAAAGUAAACGAUUUACAAUUAAGUAGUCAUAGGUUAGUUUUGCAAUUGAAAAAAAAAACUUCAAGAUUUAAUUAUACACAGACGACUUGUAAUUCAGUCGUCCACCAGACGACUUAAUUGUAAGUCGUCCAGGAUUUUUUUCCGAGAUUCUGGUCAAACCUCGUAAAUCCUGGACGACUUACAUUUCAGUCGUCUCGUGGACGACUGAAUUAUAAGUCGUCUGUAUAUAAUUAAAUCUUGAAGUUUUUUUUUUCAAUUGCAAAACUAACCUAUGACGACUUAACUGUAAGUCGUCUACUUUUAAAAAAAUAUUAUUAUUUUAAUUUUCACUAGACGACUGAAAUGUAAGUCGUCCAAAAAGUCAAACUUCUGAAAUAAUCCAGUCAAAUGCAAAACUAACCUCUGACGACUGAAAUGUAAGUCGUCUAGCUUUUUUGGAGUUUUUUUUUUAACCAAACAAUAGUAGACGACUUAACUUUCAGUCGUCCGAAAUAACAGAUUUCAAAGUCAAUUGCAAAAAUAACCUCUGCGUUGACCAGACGACAUAUAGUUUAGUCGUCUAGACAACUUAGAUUGAAGUCGUCCGCGUCUUCUCCACUAGUUUUUAAGUCUUCUACGUUAGUUUUUUAAUAACUUGUAUUUUUAAGAGUGAUAAGUAACUUCAAGAUAUGUAAAACUCAUAUUUACAAAAUAUGUUCUCUCCCUUAGUUUUACUAAAUUUGACUAAGUUUUUCAAUGCAAACUUAUAAAAAAUAUGAUAUGCUUUGACUAGUUACUAUUGUUUGUUUCCAUCUCUUACCAACAUUCUUGUUUAUUAAGAUGAGAAAAAGGCCAUUGGAGUUUAUUAUUGCAUAUGAGAGAUCCAAAGAUAAGAAAAAGACUACUGAAGUCUAUUAUUUCAUUGAUUUGUAAAUGUGUAAACACAUUGUUAGCACAUUUAAUACAUCUUGGAAAACAUUAUUACUGAUUUUACAAAAAAUUCACAACUAAAAGAGUAUACAUGCAAUUCAUAAAACAGACUACAAACAAAACUAUUAUAGAUCAUUCAUCUACAAAGACAAGCUUGGAUUCCACUUGAGUAGACAAGACCAGACAACUUUUAAGAAGUCCAGACGACUUCUAAGAAGUCCAGACGACUUCCAGGAAGUUCAGACGACUUUGCCAGAAGACUUUUAGGAAGUUCAGACGACUUCCAGACGACUUUACAGGAAGUCCAGACGACUUUUAGGAAGUCCAGACGACUUCCAAAUGACUUCCAGACGACUUUACAGGAAGUCCAGACGACUUUUAGGAAGUCCAGACGACUUCCAAAUGACUUCCAGACGACUUUACAGGAAGUCCAGACGACUUUUAGGAAGUCCAGACGACUUCCAAAUGACUUCCAGACGACUUUACAGGAAGUCCAGACGAUUUUUAGGAAGUCCAGACGACUUCCAGACGACUUCCAGACGACUAACAAGUAAGUCGUCCCAGAAGUCUUCCAGAUCUGAAAAACCUGGAUAUUAAAUCCAUAUCUGAAAAACCUGCAUAUUCAAAAACGUUCAAAUGGCUUAAAAACAAAAAAAAUGAGUGGAAGAUUAGAUAAAUCUACCUUUACAGAACACACAAAGAUACAUAUCUAAAAAUAAUAGAUCUACCUUUAAAUUAGUGGAAGAUGAGUACCAAAUAAUUAAAAACCUGCAAAAAAAAAAUAGAUUAGUAACAAAGACAUGAGACAAAAUUGAAAAAUUCAUAUAAAGUUUGGUGUUUUCAAGUCAAAGAGAUUAGAGUGGGUUUGGAGAGUUUUAGUUUGGGAAAAAAGUAAGAACUUUAUACAACAAGAAGUUACCAAAUGAAGAAAAAUCAGACAUAAGAACUUACCGAAACACUCAGAAAAAUCCAGACGAAUAGAAGUCCAGACGACUUCCUGGAAGUCCAGACGACUUCCUGGAAGUCCAGACGACUUUGUCAGAAGACUUCCAAGAAGUCCAGACGACUAACAGGUAAGUCGUCCCAGAAGUCUUCUAGAUCUGAAAAACCUGCACAUCAAAUCCAGAUCUGAAAAACCUGCAUAUUCAAAACCGUUCAAAUGACUUAAAAUAGAGAAAAUGAGUGGAAGAUUAGAUAAAUCUACAUUUAUAGAACACACAAAAAUACAUAUCUAAAAUUAAUAGAUAUACCUCUAAAUUAGUGGAAGAUGAGUACCAUUUGAUUAAAAACCUGCAAAAGAGAUAGAUUAAUAAGAAAUACAUGAGACAAAACUGAAAAAUUCAUAUAAAGUUUGGUGUUUUCAAGUCAAAGAGAUUAGAGAGAGGUUGGAGAGUUUUAGAAUGAUGAACAUUACAUUUUUGUUGCAGCCAUUUGAGAGGAGGAGAGAGAAUGUGUAAAUUUUUCUUUAUAUAGGGAGACAAAAAAUCCAAUUAGAUUUAAUAUUUUUGACUCAGACGACUUCCUGGACGACUUACAUUUCAGUCGUCUGGUGAAGAAAUUAAAACAGACGACUUACAUGUAAGUCGUCCAAAAGAGUUUAAUAUUUUUAGCGGGAAAUUAAAUAUUUUUAGCGGGAAACUAAAAUAGAAGACUUUCCAGACGACUUACAAGUAAGUCGUCUGGACGACUGAAAUAUACGUCGUCCGGGUAAAUUAUUCAACAGACGACUGAAACAUAAGUCGUCCACACCCUAAACAUAACCCCUAAACUUAAUUAUCUAAUUAAACACUUCAUAAAACCAAAUCAAACUUGAAAAGUGUUUACUAUACACAGAAAUAAACACAUAUAGGUGAAAACUAAUUUUUGAAAAAAACGUUUUAGUUUUCCAAAAUCUAACCCUAACAAUACAUACAAUACUACAACAUAUGUUUGCCAAACUCCUAAACCAAAGUAUUUCAUGAUUCACUACUUCCACUCAUCUAUCUUCAAAACAAAUCAAUUUUAUCAUAUCUUAAUUUAUAUCAGUUAAAACUGUUUAUAAUUACUUGAUUUUUAUUUUUUACACAUCAAAAUAUUUUUUUACAAGAUUUAUAAAUUAUUUUUAAAAUAAACUGGUACCAAACGACUUACACUUCAGUCGUCCAGACGACUUCCAACAUCUCAGACGAUUUACUGGGGCUAUAUUCGUAAAAAUGGCUUCUGUUUUUUUGUUUGGUCACAAGGGACUGAGCUGUAAUUUCACUAGGCUUUAAGGUUAGUUUUGCAUUUGAUUCAAGUUUGGGUAUAUGUUUGAAAUUAAAAUCAAGUUGUGGGUUAGUUUUGGCAAAAACCCCUAAAAUAUUACACCAAAAACAUAGUUAUAAUACGAUGUCUAGUUUUCUUUUUGAUAAGAAAUGUUCCAUCAAUUGUUUAUCUUCUUUACCCCAGUCGGUAAUAAAUUCAAGACUUGACGAUAAUCUCGUGCAAGACAAUCAAUUGUAAUCCAAUACAACUUGCUAUCGUGGUUUAAUUUUGAAUGUUUCUUGCAUGACAUAAUAAACAGAAAUUUUGAUUAUUUUCUUCAAUUUUGAAACGUCGCUUUAAAACCCUCCACCGUCUUAGACUUUGUUUAUGUUCAUUUUCUUAUAACAACUAGGUAACUCAGGUAUUUAAUUAUUCAAUAGUAAGUUCAUCUGUUAGAUAUCUGAUAAAGAUGAAAUGGAUGGAAGGGAGAUACUAGCUAGCUUUCUACAUAGUUACUGAUAUGUAUCGACCAGUAGAGUCGGGUCGGCCCCAUCCCCUUAGACGAUCAUACGUCUAUGCUAUAUAAUAUUCGAUUUAUGGAUUCCUUUUUAAAAAUUAAACGAAAAAUCAAAGCUCUGAAUAUUAGUAUUAUUUUUCUCGCCAGUACUGCAUUAAACUUAGUGAACCUGCUUCUACUGCUGUUUCUUAAACUUCAGGUUCGAACUUCAGUUUCGAGAGUUAAGCCAAAUGUACGUAUGACACCUAUCAUUCCCCGCCUCUGUUCCCCAAUACAUCCUAACUUGUGAAUACUUUUUCCAUUCACCUUUUCCCAUUGAAAUUGUCAACAUCUGCAAUAAAAUCUAGCGCGUGGGUUUUGGAACUCCCAUGCACUUGAACUCAUCAGAAUAAACAAUUUUUCAUAAAUAGUACAGAAGAAAUAUUACUCCUAUAAAGAAAUAAAAAAAAAAGCAAAAGAAACACAUCACGAGACAGUACUAUGUGAUGUAAGCAACCACAUACACCACUCCCUUUUUCUCCUCUCCCAUUGUUUGUCCUUUUCUUUUCCUUUCGCCAAUAAUUCUCUUCUUAUUUUAUUGGCUAUUUAAUUUUCCCUUAAUUUCUAUAAAUUAUGAUUCCUCUUUUUGUUUUAACCUCUUUUGAUUCUUUCUAUAUAUACAAAUACAAAACCACCUCUUCCUCUUAACAAACCUCUCUACGUUUCUCUCUCAUUAAUUGUUGCAAUGAUGCAAGAAUUAGGCUUAGAACGUUUCUCCAACGACGCCGUUUACUUAGACCUCACUCCUCCUUCUCAAACCUCAUCCACCUCUCUCUCCAUCGACGAAGAAGAAUCAUCUGAGGCCAAGAUCCGACGGCUCAUAACCGAGCAUCCCGUGAUCAUAUUCAGCAGAUCCUCUUGUUGCAUGUGCCACGUCAUGAAAAGACUCCUCGCAACGAUCGGUGUCAUCCCCACCGUCAUCGAGCUCGAUGAUCACGAGGUUUCCUCUCUCCCCUUGGCUCUUGGAGAAGAAUAUUCCGGAGGUGGCUCCGGCGUUGUUCCUCCUCCGGCGGUUUUCAUUGGCCGUGAGUGUGUAGGAGGUCUUGAGUCCCUAGUCGCGCUCCAUCUAAGUGGUCACCUUGUCCCUAAGCUUGUCCAAGUUGGAGCUCUUUGGGUAUGAUAUUGUAAUUUUACUUCUUUGAGUUUCAUUAGUAUUUUGCAGUACUCAAAAGCAUAAAUUUAGGGUUUCUCUUUUCUGGUUAUUAUCUGAUGAUCAUAAUUAAACACCCAUGUACUAUAUAUGAAUAAUACUUUAAGAAUGUGUAAGUAGUAAAUUUUAUAUAAUUUGCUUCCCUCGUUUUCUCUCUCACUAAAGUAUACAUUAAUUAAUCCAUCAACUUUAAUUAUUUUUGAAUCUAAGUGAUAAGGACUAAAUAAAUUUUUAUCUAGUUGUAUUAUGAUUCAAUUUUUGGUUUUUGUUUCCUUCUUGUAUAAUAUCAUGUUGAGGGAUAAUCAAAGAUGUAUUUGUAAAAUGCAAGAUGUUUAUAUCAGUUAUUAUUCUUAGUUACUGUUGCUAGACACUAGUUACUUUGAAAACAGUAUACUGUGAUUAGCAGAGUGUUUUUAAUACUAUAUUUUAGAGGUUAAUUAGUUCAUCUGAGUAUUGGUUUUCUAAAUUGAUUAUGGACUUCUGAGUGCCUUAUUCAUUAUGAUUUAUGAAUAAUUAUGUUUACGAUGAUCAUAUGAAUGCGUUCGUCCAUCUGAAAGUUAAUUAACUUCAUUGUUUAAGUCAUUAUUCUAAAGAAUAAAGUAGAGAAGUUAGGAAAGGAAAGAAGAUUCUACCAUUAUUUGUAAGGUCUCCAAGCUCUCAGCGUCACGUUAAUUUCCUAUUCAAGGAAAUAUUCCAUUAAAAGUCCGCAUAGUUGAAGAAACUCAAACUAAUAAUCCUUAAUUACAAAAAAUUAAUGUAACGAGGAUCACCAUCUUAACCAAAUACAAUUUCAUGUUUUGUGCCUUGAUCUCUCGUCUAAUAAACAGUCGGUAAAGUUCAUGCAUUAACUCCAUCUCUUNNNNNNNNNNNNNNNNNNNNNNNNNNNNNNNNNNNNNNNNUCCAUCUCUUUCCCUUAAAUUACAAACGAGUCUAGUUAGAAAAGGUACGUCCAAAAUUGUAAAUACAUUUUUAAUUGUUCAGUUAUAAGUUCAUAGAGUUUUGGAAAUGAAAUUAAUAACAAGUGGAAAAUGAGAGACCCACUUUCAAUAAUUGAGGGGUUUUCGAUAGCGACGCUGGGGCUUAAGUGGCAUCUCCAAAAACAAACCUUCUUUUAUUUUCCUCCCCACAAUUAUUGAAUUUUUUUUUUCAAAGAUUCAGAAAAGACCAGGAAUUUUUUUUUUCCAGUUAGGUAAAUUGGAAUAGCAUGCUAUAUACUUUCUUUAUACCGGUCGAUUUUGUAGUAGAUUACGACAAUUAGGUCAAAAGUCUAUGUUCCACAUUUCAAGGGUCAAGAUUGAACUGUGCCUGUACACUGAUGUCACUAUACUGCUAUGUUUUCCAAGAGAGAGAUUUGUUGAAAUCCUUUUUGUUUUCUUGCGAUGCUUCAAACGUUUUUGAUUUUUGUUAAUACACAAACCAUAUGACAGAAGAAACGAGUUUCACUGUAAUUAAAGUCACAGAGAUAGCGUUCUUAAUUUAUACCAUUAGACUACAUGAUAUAGUCAUGUUUGUCUGUGUUUACAAAUACAAUAUAUUCACUCCUCUCAAAUAUUUUAAUAUCAUCGUGGUAAAAAAAAAGAAGUAAAUAUCAAAUACUACAUAAUAGAUUACUAGUCUGAUCUCGUCUCUAGACUUCGGUCAAUUAGUCACAUAACACAUAUACGUGCAUUGAAAAUUGGAUGUAAACGUCAAACUAUUUACCGAUUCUCACUAGACCAACCAAUAAAUCAUUAUGGUGUAGCAUGUCUCCCGUAUCUUUAUUUAUUACAGGUAUUAGCCACAAAUUUAUAUACGUCACGACAGAGGGCAUAAGAUUCAUGCAUCAUUUUCUCCAAAGAUUAUGCAAUAACUAUGGCCUAUAGUCAACAUGUCUCGACCACGUGCUAUGUGAGCAAACACGACAGAGUAACUUAUAUCGACCAAAGCAUAUGUAAAUAAAUUUACAUAAUAGAGAAAUGGAAAUUUGACCGAGGUAUAUAUAUACUCGUUCUUAUUACUUUUAUAUUCUGUUUGAUACAAAUAAUUUCUUAAUUUCAAAAUCCAAACUCAAACAGUGAAGUAUAAGCAAAGAACUUAUGUAAGUAUUGGGUUUUGUCCUAGAACUUUUCAGAAAUUAACUUAAACUAAAAAGUAAAAAGCGGCAGCUGAUUUAUCUAAGCAUCAUUAAUUCGUUACUCAAAUGAUGAUGCACAUUAAUGUCUCUGAAUUGCAAUACCAAUCGCAUGCACUGAAGUGUAAGAAAAUAAGUUAUACAAUCAAAAUAGAAAUAAAAUAGUGCCGACCUAUACAAUUUGGUAGUUGUGGAAUAAAGAUUUUUGUGUGAGAUCAUGUGACAUGUCUUCAAAAUUAAGGUUACGCUUUUCAUAUAUAUUUUUUAAUUUGCAAGUUGAUGAAUACUGAUGGCGACGAUGACCUCAUCAAUCAUAAACAACAAUCUCUCCAACAAAUGUUUCAUGUAUUAAUAUGUGGAAUAAUGCAAUAAAAAUACAAAUAAACCUUGCCUCCACACCAAAAGCCUCCCCCACUUUUAAAUACUCGUUAUUUUCAGUUAAAUUGAAUCGUGUAAACUACAUAAAAGUAUACAAUUAUUUAAUCAUUGCAUUGCGCCAUUCGUCUUUUCACAAUUUAUGAGUGAGACUGGAUGAUAUUUUAAGAACAAAAUAUUUAUUCUAAAUGUUAAUUUAUUUUAAAUUUCACUAAAAUUUAUUAAUUAAAUGGACCACAAUUUUAUAUUUUACUCUAAUCACUGUGGAAAAUAUACACUAAGCUUUAUUCUAUAUUGUGGUAAAGUAAUAAUAUUUCUAUUAUUUUCUAUUUUGUUUUCACCCUUUUGUUUUCCACAAUUUUCCACAUUUUUUAACUCUAUUUUAUUCUAAUGAAACCAGUCAUAACCAAUAUAUAUUAAUCAUUUGAACAAAAAAAAACCAAUAUAUAUUAAUCAUAGUCUUAAUCUAUAUCAAUUUUUCAUUUUUUUUGAGAAUGGAUUCAUCUUUCAAUAUAUAAAAAUAAUGCACCGAGUAACAUUAAAAACCAAUGGAUGGUUCAAAAAUUAAAUAAAUUAUUUUAGUUAAUGUUUAAAAUAUUCUUUAAUUUUGAUAAAAAAAACAUUAUUUAAUAAAAUAACUCUAUAAUGUAUUUAAUACACCAACAUUAUUUAAUUACUAACUUAGAGCCGCCAAAAAAAAUACUAAUUUAAAUGAUUGAUCAGAAAUAUUUGUCAUUUAUAUAAAACAUAAAUUACAAUUUUACUUGUUUGAAAAUUUCCUCAAUCAUAAAACGAAAUUCUUCGCACUUUUAUUGAACACUAGUCAAACCUUUGAACAAAAUAAAAUAGGAGAUAUUUUUAGGCGCCCAUAGACUUAGUCUUAACGCCAAUCUUCUUCCACGAAACACUAGGCAUGAUCUGCUUUGUGUCCACACGAUCCUUAAACUGAACAGCAAAGUUGAGCAACGAAUCAAGAAGUGACUCAGAGAGAUAGUGAGGCUCGAGUCCAAGCUCCAUCAGCUUUGUGUGCUUUGCGUUGUAGUAAUGUUCUUCCGCCUCAACUCUCGGGUUAGGCACAGUCAUCUUUGUCACGUCCAGGCCGAGCUUUGAACCAGCUUUAGUGACCAGUGAAGCCAGUUCAUUGACCGAGAACUGUUCUGUGAAUUGGUUGAAUACCCUGAACUCACCAGCCUUUGCUGGGUUCGCUAUAGCCAGCUCAACACAUUGAACCGUGUCUCUUAUAUCAAGGUAGCCUCUUGUCUACAAAAGAGAAACAUACUGAAUAAAAACUGUGGCUGGCAUAAAAUCCGGAACCCAAAAUCCAAACGUAUCCAAUCCGAAAUGUAAAAACUUGUAGGGUGUUGCAAACAUAUCCCAACCCGAAGUGUUACUGACCGAACCUAAACAUAUAUUCCAAAAAAAGCCGAAAGAAAAUCCGAAAAACAAUCUGAAUGUCCAAAUUACUAUCCAAUAAAGAUAUAUUUAAACCCGAAAUGUUAUUCACCGAACCCAAACAAAUAUUCCAAAAAACCCGAAAGAAAAUCUGAACUUUUUCUUAUAGAUAAACAUAAAUAUGUACUUCAAAUACUCAAUUCCGUGCUUAUAAAAUACCAUAAUGGGAACUAAGAGGAUGAACCCAAAAAAUCCGAAAAGCCGAUCCAAACCCAACUAGCUACCCAAACGCCCAGGCCUAAUAAAAACCACUAAAAUCUCUUGUGAAGACAGGACAAGCAAGUCAAUUUACCUGACCACCUUUACCAUAAACAGUAAGCGGAUGACCAACAGCAGCUUGCACACAGAACCGGUUAAGAGCCGUCCCAAACACAGCAUCAUAAUCCAACCGGUUCCUUAGCUCCUCAUGCAUCUCAGUCUCAUCAGUCUUCACACCAUACACAACUCCUUGGUUCAGAUCAGUAGCUCUGAUCCCCCACGCCUUGCAAGUAAAAGCAAUGUUGUGCGAGUCAUGAACCUUGCUGAGAUGAUAAAACGAGCUAGCCUGCUUCGGGUACGGCAAAGUAUCAGUCCUCCCAUUGUGCGUUAUCGUUAUAUAGCCUUCCUCGAUGUCGAUAUUCGGAGUUCCAUACUCCCCCAUCGUCCCUAGCUUCACAAGAUGGCACUCUUCUCCAAACUCUUUGAUAGCGAAGAGGACGUUGAUAGUGCCAAUGACGUUGUUGUGCUGCGUGAACACGGCUCUAGAACGGUCGAUCAUCGAGUAAGGAGCAGACCGUUGUUCACCGAAGUGGACGACUGAGUCAGGCUGAAAGGACUUGAAGGAUUCAGAUAAGAACUCGAAGUCACAGAUGUCACCAACGUAGAGCUCGAUUGUCUUCCCUGUCAACGCCUUCCAUCUGCUGAUACGGUCAUGAAUGGAAGCUAUAGGAGUUAAAGACUCAAGACCAAGCUGGUGGUCGAAGAGACGUCUCACGAGGUUGUCAACGAUGGCUACUUCGUAGUUCUUUUUGGAUAAGUGGAGAGCAGUGGCCCAGCCGCAGUAACCGUCUCCACCAAUGACCAUAACACGUUUUGGUUUAGAGGAUGAGGAGUCGUUGGUAGAUGUUUCAGGUGGUGCUUGUUGGCUUAUAGCUGCUCGGAAAACGCAGCUUCUUCUUCUUCUUCUUCUUGUUUGUUUCUUCUCUUGGAAGAGAAGUCCUUUGAGAGAAGAUGUUGAAAGGACUUGAGGAUGGUUGAAGAAGGUUUGGUUUAAACCAAAUGGUUUAAUAUAGUUCUUGCUGCUGCUGCUAAGGGAGAUAACUGAAGGGCAUGGAGAUGAGAGUAGCUGCGCCAUUUUUAAAAGGAUUGUUCUUGAUUUUAUCAAACACACAUUCACCUGCAAAACACAAAGAUGUUUUCUCAGUGUCAUAAACAAUCAUAACCAGUGAAGAUUAUGUUAAUUCACUAUUAUUUUUGAAAUUUAAAUCGAAAAAGACAUGGAUUUGAGUUCUAAAGCACUAUCAUCUUCACACACACCCAAAAUCAACAAUAUGCAUAUAAGUGAAAGAAUCAGACUUUUAAUCGAAGUUGCAAUCAGUUCAUCUAAAGACUGAAUAUUUAGUCAUCAGAAAGCAAUAAGUAUGAAGAAGAGUGAGAUUAAAUGCACAAUGAUGGAGGAAUGCUUACAGCUGAAAGCUUUGAAAAGUGAGAGCUUUGAAACUUGCUUAGAGUCAGAGAGAGUUGGAGAAGAAGAAGGAGAAGAUUGAAAGAGAUUUAAAGUGAGAGCCUUUCCUUGAGAUUCUUGUCUCUCCUCUUGGGGACUAGACGAGACGACGAUGAGAGAGAUGAAUCACACUAGAUAUGCCGAAGCAUAUUCUCAUUUCUUCUGUUUUGUUUUUUUUAACCGAGACACUUCUGUUCUGUCCAUCCGUGAGUUUGCUGGGCUUAAUGUGGGUUAUAAUGGGCUUUUCGAAAUCGCUUUGUAAGGCCUACCUGUUUGACUACGGCAAAAAAAAAAUCACAGAACCGAUCUAACCGUUAUCAAUAUCCAAUUCGAACCUUAAGUGCCUAAAAUGUAAACCGGACAUUGCUUUUUCUAACCAUGUGAUGAAGGAAUGAGUUGAGACUUGAGACUAGUGAAAUCUAUGAGGAACAAACACUCAAAAUCAUUUAUCCUUACAAAAAAGCUGUGAAGUUAUUGAUUCUAUCAAUCCUCGACAUUUACAGCAAAUCAGAUUUUCAUUUGAGAACAUUGGUUACGUACAAAAAGCUAUCAAGUUAUUUAUGAGAACAUUGGUUUUGAAACAACGCUAAUGUGUAGCAUGCAGUUCCUAAAAGCAGUAGUAAAAUGCAAAGUAGUUUUCAGAAGCUUGGUCUGUUUGUAUGAGUUUGAUGUGGUUACCAGCCAUAUGCAAAUCCUAAGUCAACCCAUCAUCGAUUUAUACGUGGUUGUUAGUCUUUUUUUUUGCAGGUUGACAACAAUAAAAAGUCGUUUCUUAAAAUAAAAAAUUUAACACACAAAAGUCAUCCCUAUAUAAACAGAUGAUUCAGUGAACGAAAAAAAUGCAAAACAAUAUUCACUUCCCAUCUUUCUUAUUCUUAUAUUUAUCUUAUUUUUCCGAGUUGUUAAGUUUGAUUCCGAAGUCAUUUUAUAAUAACACUGAAGUUUGAUAGCGAUCAUUAUUUAAAUUAUAAGAAUCUAAAUAUUCAACUAUUUCCAAUGAGAUUAGGUAUGAAAUGACAACAUUAUAUGGCCAUUCUCAUGAAUUACUUGUGACUUUCUCCACGUACGUGCACGCACACACAAACAAGAACACAUGCUUAGUUAAUAUUUUCCCACUCUUUCUUCAUAAAAAGUAAGAGUCUAUACUAUAUAUAAUCCCUUAAUUGCUGAUGACAAGAAUAGAAACCUUCAAGUGUAAUCAUCCAAAGCGAAGUAAUGUCUCUCUUACAGGUUUGAAACUAAUACUUCAUUACUUCCCUCAUCAGCUAGUUCUUGACUUAUUCUAUUUUUUUAUCACAAUUUCUCUGCCUGUAAAUGUUUUCAGGAUUUCUGGCAGUUCCUCCAACCAUUAUCCUCUAGAUUUACAGGUAUUCUUUCCCACACUUCAACUAUUUGCAUAUUUAUCUUUACUUGUAUAGGAUCAUGAUUUUUUCUAUAUCCACAAAAUAUCUGAAAAAUUCAUUAAAUGGAUAAUCUUACUUAACACCCUUAUAUUAAGUCCAUUAUAUGCUAAUAUUGCAAACAAAAUUUUACUUAGCCAAGAUAACUUAAUUUCUUUUGCCCCCAUAUAUCAUACUUUUUGGGAUAAAAUGUUAAGUUAUAUAUAUACUUUCCCUCCAUUAUUUUCUUUUGUUUUUGUGAACAGAGUCGUUAACAACCAGCUGUGACUCCGGCGAGUCAGACCCGUGCCGGGAUGAUGCGGCAGCUCUCACCCUCAAGUACGCAGCUAUGGCGUCGAUCCUCGUCGCUGGAGCGUUCGGCGUCUCGCUUCCCCUCGUCGGAACCCUACUACCAUCAACCGGCGGCCUAAUGAGAGGAGCCAAAGCGUUCGCCGCAGGAGUCAUCCUCGCAACAGGGUUCGUCCACAUGCUCUCCGGAGGCUCCGAAGCUCUCUCCGACCCGUGUCUCCCGGAGUUUCCAUGGAGGAAGUUCCCUUUCCCUGAGUUCUUCGCCAUGGUGGCGGCGCUUCUCACUCUGCUCGCGGACUUCAUGAUCACGGGGUACUAUGAGAGGAAGCAGGAGCAGCUCAUGAACCAGUCUGUCCAGUCACUUGGUCCGGCUUCGGUGCGGGAUCAGGAGUUUGGAUCGGGUUUAUCUUCGGGGUUUCUGAGGGAUCAGGAAGAUGGUGGGAAGUUGCAUAUCGUGGGGAUGAGAGCCCACGCGGACCAUCACCGUCACAGCCUCUCGAUGGGACCCGAAGGUUUUGAGGCUCUGGCGAAUAAGAGCGGUGUCGCAGGCCAUGGCCAUGACCACGGGGACGUGGGCUUGAACAGUGGUGUCAGGCACGUUGUUGUUUCUCAGGUAAAGACAUUUCUUGUUACUCCUUUUUUAUAUUUCUGAUUUUGACUUUUGAAUUGUUUUAUUACAUUUCUAACGAGCUGACUUCAUUCAUUCUUACACAAGGUAGUUAGUUAGCUAAGGUAAUAUAUAUAUAUGGUUGAACAAAUCCAAUAUACUACUUUUCUUACAAUAAAGCCGAAGUCAAAAAUAUAUCAAUUGGAUGCAUAAUACUGCACGUUAGUUUCAUUCUUAAUAGAGCUGUCUUUGAGUUAUAAUAGUAACCGACUGAAAUUUUUCAUGAACCAUAAGUUGAAUUGCUCGCCACACAAUAUGACUAAUUGAAAAUAGCUUUACUUCCAACGAAAUGCGAGUGUAACAGGCGAUGUUCGACAUUUGUUUUAAAUGUAGCAUUUAUUCUAAAAAAACAUAAUUAAUAGUAGUUUAGUACUAAAACGAGAUGAGUCUACCUUAUAAUCCUAAAACGUAUUGAUUGUUAUUAAGGUGGUGAUAUUAGAUUAGAUAGAUUAGUCAAAUAAUAUAAUUUGACUAGUCAAACUAUUCGCUUAUAUAGUUUAUUUAUUUAUAUGAUAAUGGUGGUACUUUACUUUUCUUUUGUUAUUCAGAUACUUGAAAUGGGAAUAGUAUCACAUUCAAUAAUAAUAGGAAUAUCACUUGGAGUAUCACAUAGCCCAUGCACUAUACGUCCUCUCCUCGUCGCUCUUUCCUUCCACCAAUUCUUCGAAGGUUUUGCCCUUGGUGGCUGCGUUGCGGAGGCUAGACUAACCCCGCGUGGAUCAGCCAUGAUGGCUUUCUUCUUCACGAUUACUACCCCAAUCGGUGUGGCUGUAGGAACAGCCAUUGCCUCAUCUUACAACUCCUAUAGCGUUGUGGCUUUGGUGGCUGAAGGAGUGCUUGAUUCUCUCUCUGCGGGAAUACUUGUCUACAUGGCGCUUGUGGACCUGAUAGCUGCUGAUUUCUUGAGCAAGAAGAUGAGUGUUGAUUUUAAGCUUCAGAUUGUGUCUUAUUGCUUUUUGUUCCUUGGUGCUGGGAUGAUGUCUGCUCUUGCAAUUUGGGCUUGAUUAGUUUUCACUUCUUGAUUUUUCAAAACAAGCUUUUCUUCCAUCAUAACAAAACAGUUCUUUUCCCUUUAAGUAUACAUUUGUGUGUUUCAGUUUUUUUGUUAUCGCGUCAUGAAGUGUUGCUGUUUAUCGUUGUGAUUUAUUUAUAAAAGUAUUCAUUGAAAUAAAAAUGCUUGUUAUUUGUUGUGUACAUACAGUUAUAAUAUGCAUCUAGUAAAGCUUCGGGUAUGAAUCAAAUUUUCUUAGACAAAUAUCUUGAGUCACAUCCAUAUAUUAACCGGGUGUUACAUCCUUCCACCUUUCAAACCUCAAAAAUUUCAUACACGUAUCACAAACUUUUGGCACAUGUAGAUGUUUUGCGUUUUGUUUUUUGGGUAAAAGACUCAAUAAAUAUGGUGAAAAUGUAUAUAAUCUGGCUCUUUAACAACCACAUUAUUGUCCUUGGACACAAAUCAAAACCAAAGAUCAUCGUGACACCUUUUUCAAACAAUUCUCCUUUUACGUUUUCUUUUUUGAUAUAAGCCAACAAAACAUUUGCCAGUAUAACUAACACCAUAUUAUAUAAUCCUUUAUACACAAGAUUUUUUUCAAGCAAAACAAGAACUUCAUGAAUAAAAUUUCCAAAAGGAGUGGAACGCUUAAGAAAUUUAUUUCUCUUCGAGGGUCCAAAACGAGAAUGUUUCAUUUUCAGUCGUAUGUUUGGAAGACGAUGGUUCCCAAGUUGUAUGAUGAACAGACGGCCAGCCCUAUAUUUAUCUAUUUAACUAUUUAUUUGUGGAGAUAAACUCUAUGUGAAAUAGAUCACGCCACCUAAUUAUUUUAUUUUUUCAUGUGAACCAAAAUAUUUACAACUUGUUUGCCAUAUGAUUUUUCUUUUGUUGCUUUCUUUGUGAUUUAUUUGAUAAAGGUGACAAACAUUUUCGUCCACCGAAUCCCAAUCUCUUCAGCUUUAGCUAGCAUCCUUUCAAAUGUUAUCUCCAGAUUUUUAUUUACAGCACUUUCCACAAUUAUAUAUCUUAAGGUUUGCCUGUAUAUCAUCAAAACAAUAGUUUAAAAUCUUAUUUUUCCUACUGUUUAUCUAGGAAUGCUAACUAGUAAUCUUUUCCAAAAAAGUUAGUACCAAAUAAAACUUACUUAUUGAUUAGCCCAACACAGCUCAAUUUUGAAGAAAAAAAACCCACAAAUUUUGGAGGUAGGUAAAGAACAAAUCCUGUGAGCUAAGAGCAUCUCCAAAGGCACUCUAUUUUUUCCUCUAUAAUUUACACUAAAAUAGAGUAACUCUAUUAUAGAGUUAAAUUUGCUCCAAUGGUUCACUCUAUAAUAGAGUUACUCUAUAAUAGAGUGAAAUAUAGAGUAAUCCUAUUUUUUAUACUCCAAAUAUAGAGUGAAAAAAUAAAAAUACUCUAUAUUUCACUCUAUAAUAGAGUAACUCUAUUAUAGAGUGAACCAUUGGAGCAAAUCCAACUCUAUAAUAGAGUUACUCUAUUUUAGAGUGAAAUAUAGAGAAAAUUAUAGAGUAGCAUUGGAGAUGGUCUAAUCACAUUGUGGAAAGCAGUAUGGGUUUUUCUUAAUAUACAAUCUCAACAUGCAAUAUAUAUCUUUGAAAUAUAAACAUAUGCUAUAUCAUUUGUAAAACUAAAUAAACUGCAUUAUUGAUGUUAGAAAAAAAAACAUGGUAUAUAGUAUAUACUAUGUGGUUUGGAGAAAAUGCUCUAAAUAAACAACUAAUUUUUUGACAUAAUAAACAACUAAUUAAAAGAUGUCAGAGAUCCAUUUUAAUCAUAAUUUAAUAAAUAUGACUAUCGUAACAAUAUUAAUCAAAUUCCUAAUUAGAUGCAAUACACGUGGAAUCUGCACAAAUUGUUAGAUACUUUUCACCAACCCCAUCGCUGAGCCUUCUUCAACCAUUUACAAGAGAUCCACAAAAUUUCACAAAUAAUAAAAAAAAAAACUAAAUAAUUUUAGCAGUAUAUAUAAACACACUCUGUCUUGGGACGUGAUAUACAGUCAGUGAUAUACAUACACACACACCAUUUGCACCACCACCUCCUCCACCAACCAAUCCAAUGGCACAAAACUAGAAAGACAAAUCAAUCUUUCUUCGUUUUUCCUGAUUCCUUCCCACUUCCUCUCAUCAAAUCAUCAAAUCACCAUGGAGCGCGCACGUAGGCUCGCUUACAGAGGCAUCGUGAGACGCCUCGUUAACGAAUCGAAACGACACCGUAACGGCGAGAUCACCCCUCACCACGUCCCUUCCGUCGUCCCCCACGCUCCUUCUCGCUACAUCUCUUCCCUCUCCCCUUUCCUCUCCAACAACCACCACAACAGAUCCGUCAAUCUCCCCAAACACCACAACCAUAACCAGACGCGUUCGAUCUCCGUCGAUGCGGUUAAGGCGGGAGACACUUUCCCGCGCCGCCACAACUCCGCGACGCCGGACGAGCAAGCGCACAUGGCGAAAUACUGCGGAUACGAUCACAUCGACUCCUUGGUCGACGACACCGUCCCGAAACAGAUCCGAAUCGACUCGAUGAAGUUCUCCAAAUUCGACGGAGGCCUCACCGAGAGCGAGAUGAUCGCGCACAUGACCGAGCUGGCCUCCAAGAACAAGGUCUUCAAGUCCUUCAUCGGGAUGGGGUACUACAACACACACGUCCCCACCGUGAUCAUCCGCAACAUCCUGGAGAACCCCGCCUGGUACACUCA